rnacentral:lncRNA from 1 species
AAACGAUAUUAGAAUCCCAGGUGAAAAGAACCCUCUCACACCAAUUAUUUAAAUUAGGAAUGAUCAUACCUCUGACUCUGCCGAACUGAGGGCGGGGUCUAAACCCACCAUAAAGAGACGCUUGAGAUGGGAAGAGCCCACUUUGACUAAUUCAUUACGAAAAUAAUCGACAUCUUGCUCUUGCAAUCCCCAUAACUCAAGGUCUUCAAUUCUCUGCAGUUGCACGAUCAGCGAAUCCUUCAAGCAAAUCUUGUUAUUUAGCUCGACUCUGAAUUCACGACACGGAAUGCUGGUGAUCCCCCAAUACUCAAGAUCUCCAAUGCGUAUGCUGUACCUUUCCAGCUUCUCCAAGAACAGGCCUCUGGGCAGAGUGCUGACGUCAUGGGUGUCUAAUUCCAAAGAGGUCAAGUUGGGCAAAUGCUUCAACUCCUCAAGGCUUGCAUUCUUAACCCCUUCCACCUCCACCUCCCAAGCAGCAAAGCUUCUAUGACUUAUAUAUAGUUCUUCUAAAUGGGAUAAUUUUGACAGUAUAUUUGGUGGAAUAACUUUUAGACACCAACAAUCCCUCAAAUCAAGCAACUUUAGCCAAGUCAAUUCACCUACUUCUACCGGCAACUUCUCAAUAUAAGAACUUCUUAAGCAAAGGAUUUCUAGUUUCUUCAAGUCUCCUACAACACUUAUAUCACGCAAGCUGCAGUCACACAAACUCAGUGUUCGAAGGUUUGACAGGAGACCAAGUGAUGAAGGCAGUGACCGUAGAUUCAUGCCAGUCAAGUUGACAACUCUGACCUGCAUCAUCCUCUCGAAAAAGUUGUUUGGAAUUGUUAAUGAUGAAAAUUCCCAACGAUCAGCACGUAUAAAAAGAAGUUCGAGCUGAGGACAUUCCAGUACUUCAGGAAGCAAAUUAUUCUUGAUAUGAUGUAAGACGAUUGAAGUGCAAUGCUUUAUUGCACUUCCGUCUAACCAUUCCCUGCAACCAUCAACCUGCUCAUUUGUAGCAGUAAACACAUUUCGUUCAGUAGAUGCAAUUAAUAUGGCGACAUCGCGAACUACAUCAUGCAUAGAAAGCAACUCUUUCUUCUGGCUUAUAUGGUCAAGCAACAAACAAGAAUCUUUGAGCUGGUGUACCAAUGUAUGUACUCGAUUUCGUGCUGCUUCCAUCUUAUUCACACCUUGAAAUAAAGUCAAUCCCAUACCAAACAUUAACAGUUCGUCAAUAGAUGCUAUGGCUGUAUAUCCUAUUAGCAAAAAGAUGUUCUUCAGCUCCUCCCCUACCAAUUUGUCGUAACUCCACUUUAUGGCUUCAUAUGCAUCUGGCUGUACAUCCUUAAAAUUCGAUGAAGAAGGCCUUCCUAGUUUUUCCAAUGCAUCCUUCCAUUCCUGUAUGCUCUUGUUCCUUAAUGCCCUUGCAACCGUCACAAUGGAAAGUGGUAGACCUGCACAUCCCUUUGCCACACCCCUUGCUACCGAUUGGAAUUCACUGCCUUCAAAAUAAUCACCUGCCAUCUUCUUGAAUAGAUUCCAAGCUUCUUCUUCGUUUAAAACACCAAUUGAGAAAUUUGGUCGAGAAUCCAUCUUCCUAGACAAUACAUCUAGACUUCUGGCCGUCAGCAAUACUUUACAACCUUUAUGACCAUCUCCAUGAGGAAUUCCGACAACCCGCAAAUCAAGAUUUUCCCAAAUGUUGUCUAAAAUUAUCAGGAUCUUCUUCUCUGCUUCUAUACGUUUAAAUAAGCUGUUUGCCCUUCCUGAUUCACUUUCCUCAUGAAACUUCAGGCCUAAUUUAUCUGCUAUUUCUCCUUGAAUCUCUCGUAUGUUUUUAUUAUGGGAUACCUCAUCUCCUUGAAUCUUUCGUAUGUUUUGAUUACGGGAUACCUCAACAAGAACUACCUGAUAAAAGAGUUCACUCUUGACUUUCCUAGCAACUUCUUCCGCCAGCUUCGUCUUUCCGAUUCCGCCCAUUCCAUAAAUCCCAAGCAUGUUGACAUUGGGAUUUUUUAAUGCAUCCAUUAUGUCAUUCAGAAUGGGCGCUCUUGAUACAAAGGCCUCGUAGUCUUUGUUAGGGAUAAGCCGAAUAUCCUCUGCAGCAGUACGGUAGGAAAUUCUAUCAAAUCUUCUAGCGUCCCGGACUUUGACAAUAGCCUCUUUCAACGUCACUGCUUCCUUGCUAAGUCGACGGCGGGUCUUCAAAUUAGGACACAACCCCUUGAAACAACGCUUAUUUGCUGCGGCUUCAACUUCUGUAAAUUUAUCUGCCUCUUCAAUGACUUUGUUGGCCCCUUCAAGCCAACUCCUAACGUUCUCUUCAAUUUCUUCCCCGUUUCGUUCAGCCUCAUCAACCUGGUGCUUUGUACUCACCCUCUGAGACUUCAGAUUGUCAACUUCAGUCUUGAGAUUCUGUAAGUUGCUCGUGUACUUACUCUCACGCAAAUAGCUAAUGCGGCGAUAUGCGGGAGGAACCAAGCACUUCACAACUUCUACAACAAUAGUAAGAAUGAAUUCAGCCAUCUUCAGUCCUUUGUCCUUGUCUCUCUAUCUCUCUUUUUCUGAAUUUUUGAAAAACAAUUGACUACUUAGGAAGCACACUGAGUGAUUGAACACAAGUGACCACAACAAGAUGGAACAAAAUAAAAAGGAAAAAAAAUACAAAGAGUGGAAGGAGAAUAAAACAGAGACAGCGGCACAGCUGGACACAACUAGAUAGAGAACAGAGCAAAACCAAAUAACAAGACUUAAGAUUACAACAAACAGAGGCCAAGUAUUAUUGUUGAGAUCAGAAGAUGGAAAAUUCAAAAGAGUUGAUGGCAGAUGCUGAAUAACAAAACAACAAUGAACGCAAUAAGCAGAAGCAAAGUGUGUUUGAAUGCAAAGAAAGACUGAUGUUGAAAAUUGAUGUCAAUAGCGAAGGAAUAAUUGAACUUUCGCUGAAUUAUUGUUUGUGGCCUUCUUUUACUUUUUAUUUGUGGGUCAUGUCUUUUGGAACUAAUCAUCUUAGGUUAUGCCUUAUAGCUUUAAGGCCGGUAAACCGGUGUCCGUUGGAUUAGCAUAUAGAAAUCCAACGGUGGAUAUAUAUACUUGGAGAAUAAAAUUCAAGAGCUAAGGGAGUGCUGGGCUGCAGUUUCUUAAGGAGAUUUAUAUAUCCUCCUCAAAAAUAAAUGUUUUAAGGUAGAUAUUUAGACUAUUUCAUCAUAAAAUAAAUGUAAUUAGUUUUCAAUAAAUAUCUUAUAUAAAUAUUUAUUUAUUUUUUUAAUUACUAAUGACCUUUGAAUAUACAUAUAUACAUAUCCCUAGUUCAAAAAAUAAAUUGUGAUUAUUUGUUCAUGUAUGCGAUUACUUGUGAUGGGAAAUAAAAUAGAUAUGGUAUAUUUUGAAGUUAAAUUAAAAAAAAAAAAAACAGAGCUUUUACCAUUACUUGCCUUAUCAUCUUUUAAAUUAGAGUUAUUAUUCUUUUAUUUUUCAAGUUGCCAACUCAUCCGCAUUUUUUUUUUAUUGAAUUUGAAGAUCAAUGAUUAUAAAUGUGUGUAAAAAUUUUAAGUCAAAACUUUAAAUAAUCUUUAAGUUAUUGGGAAAUAAUAACUUAGUAUAACAAAUAUUAUAUCCUAUACUUUAUUGCUACAAAAUUACGAAACCUUAUAUUAUAUUAUGUUUCCAUAUUUCUCCUUUAUAGUGAAGACUCAUACUUCUUCUCUAUUAAAUGCUAAAGUAUUGGCUUAAAUUUUUUAACCAGCACAGUAGACCCUUAAGCUAUAUAUACUAUAAUGUCCCUCUUCUCUCAUAGAUUAAACCAAUCUGAUCUCGGAGUGAGUUGAUACCAUGACUUUGCAUAAUUCGUGAUCAAAGGAGUAUCAUUACUAACUAAUAUAGGCUCCAUCAAUAGGCAUGAUAAUAAUUUUUUUUAUAUACAAACACUGUUUUUCAAAAUAUUAUAUCUUAAGACUUAACUAAAUAUUUUGUAACUAUGUAGAUAUAGUUUGUUUGAUCUCUUUUAAAUAGUGGAGAUUACAAACAAACAUAUGCAAAUUAGUAGUGAUGUUGAGUUUAGAAGAUUGAAGUUAAGAAAAUUAAGGGUUUCUUGAUCUAGAGAAAUUUCAAAUGAGUGAAGUGUCCUUGAAAUCGGAAGACGAAAAUAAGGAAAGGGUAAGGGUGUAUUUUCAAAGUGAUUCUAUUACGAGAUUUUGAAGUAGGGGUGGGCAAGUCGGGUUUUGGUUCGGGUUGUUCAAGUUUCGAUUUGGAUUUCAACCCAAUCGGGUUUGAGAAUUGAAUCCAAUCGGGUUGAAAACGCCAACCCAAACUAAACCGAACCGAAUUUAAUUCAGCUUGGGUUCAUAAUUCGGAUUGGUAAUUCAGGUUAAAAUUUCGGUUCGGGUUAAUUUGGGUUAGAAUAAUUCCAUCUAAAAUUUUGGGUUAGUUCGGUUUAAAACAAAUUGAAACAAUUUAAUCCAAAAAUUAUACCAACAACCACUUAAAAUCCAAAAAUCUCAAUUCCAAACAUCCUUAACAACAAAUAUCAACUACAAACUAUCCUUGAUAACAUUUCAACAAUAACAAUAACAAUAAUAACAACAACAACAACAAUAAUAAUAAUAAUAACAACAACUAUGAAUCAGCAAUUCAGCAUAUUGCCAUAUUCUAAAUUUAAAAAAACACACAAAUUAUGUAAUUAAUUAAUUAACAAUCUCCAAUUUAAUUUAUAAUAACAACAAAAAUCCUCUCCAAUUUAAUUAAUAACAAUCUCGAAUUGUUCAAUUACCAGUCAACAACAACAAACCCACUCCAAAUAAUUGAACAAUUGUUAAUUAAUUAAUUAAAAAUAUCUAAUUUAAUUAAUAACAACACCCAAGAGCAAGUCAGCAAUAAACCCACUCAAAAAUCCAAAUAUCAGUAUAAAUUAAGUGUCAAACCUUGAUCGGUGGGAAGCUACAGCGUCGGCAAAUUGUGACCGUGUGGGGCUGAGUGAGACCGUCAACCGAGGGUGUGAGAAGGGAGGAGGGAGCAGGGAGGUAACGAGGUGUGUGUGAGUUUAUAUAUAUAUAUAUAUAUAUAAUUUUUAAAACCUAAAACUUAAAAAAAAAAUUUAACCCAAUCCAAACCGCCCACCUCAUAUUACUUCCGUUAAGAGAUGGAUCCCACACUCUUGAGCCUUUGUCGUCCCAGUCAACUAUAAAAACAAAUCAUUAUUGAGUGUGAAUAGACUUAUUGAUCACCCAAUUUUCAAACUUAUCAUCCUUAUUGUAUCUGCAUUCCCUUUUGAAAAUUUUUUAAAAAAGUACAAAUAAUGAAACAAAGUUUUGUUCCUUCAACAGUUGAUAGAGUUACGCGGCUUGGACUUGCAAGUGCUGUCGGCAUUUUCAAACUUGUAAGACCCUUCAACUUGCUUUCCAAGAUAGCUAUAAUUAAUAAUGACAACAGUCUCCCUCAUAGCGACUAGUGAGCAACUGAAAUUAACGGCAUCUUCUCUCGCAUUUUUAAAAAAAUUGAAUUAUAUAACCCACCAAAACUAUAAAGAAUUGUUAGUUUUUCUUCAUUAAAAUUAAUAUAUUGCUCCUCAUAUUGAAAAAUCAAAAUUCAGAAUAAGAAUGAUUGAUACUGUUUAUUUACUAAAAUGAAAAUAAAAUAUAUGAAGCCUACAUAUUUUUGAAAUUAAAAAACAAGAACUUGAUUUUCCUUGGGGAGUGUUGGAAAUCAAGUUCUUGUUAUUUAAACUCUCAAUUGUAUCUCACCGAAAUUUCAUAAUUCUACUUUUGUCUUCAAUUAAAAUAUUAUUAUAGUUAUUAUUCUUAUUUUUGUAGUUGUUGUUGUUGAUUAUGAUAAAUGGUCAGGCAAAUGAUUCAUUUACUUAUUUUUUUCCUUUUAAAUUUUUGUUAUUAAGAAGAUUUUUGGAUAUUUAGCGUGAAGGUCUCAACUGAUCGCUAAUUUCACAGCAACUUCCUUUUUUUUUUUUUCCCUCAAUUGUUUUGAAAAAAUAUCAAGACUCAUUCAGCAAAAUAUCCGAGGCCAAAGCGCCAAAAGAUGGGACAGCCACAUGCACUUCUAAUUACAAAAUCUAAAGUUAGGGUGUCCAUAACUUACAUUUAAUAUAAUUUAUAAUUAGGUAAAAUUCAUUCAUUGACCCAGUAAUUUUAUUAUCCUAUUACUUAUAUUUUUAUAUUAAAAAAUUAGUAAGUAGGAAAAUUCUUAAAAGAUAAUGAAGAAGGAAAAGAAAAAGAAAAAGUGUAAAUGAACUGUAUUCACAUAAGUUUCAAACAUGUGAUUCAAUCUGAAUUGGCUUUUUUCAAAAGUAAAUACAAAGGAAAAUAAAAAGAAAAAAGCAAUUAAACGAGACUAAAAUCUGUGGCCUGUGUCAUUCAUAUCUUUUGACAUUUCUUUUAUAGCGGUAUAAAGGGUAGAUAUUUUGAAGUGAAAAGCAAAGCCUUUACCAUUACUUGCCUUAUCAUCUUUUAAAUUAGAGUUAUUAUCCUUUUAUUUUUAAGUAGCCAAAUUAGAGUUAUCAUCCUUUUAUUUUUAAGUAGCCAACUCAUCCGCAUUAUCUAUUAUUGAAUCUAAAGAUAAAUGAUUAUAAAUUUCUCUGAAGAUUUUAAGUCCAAACUAUAAAUUAAAAUAAUCUUAUUGAUUAAGUUAUUGUAUAAUAAUAACCUUAGCAUGACAAAUAUUAAUUCUUCUCUAGUAAAUGCUAAAGUAUUGGCUUAAGUUUUUUAACCAGCACAGUAAAUCCUUAAAGCUAUAUAUGCUAUAAUGUCCCUCUUCCCUUACAAAUUAAACCAAUUUGAAUUUAGAGUGAGUGAGUACCAUGAGUUUGCAUCAUUUGAUAUCAAAGGAGCAUCAUUACUAACUAAUACAGGCUCGAUCGAAUUCAUCAUACGAAGCAUAUUAUCGGCUGUAGGUAUGGAAAUAAAUUUUGUAUCCACAAACACUAUUUUUCAAAAUAUUUAAGACUUAACUUAUCAUUUUUUAACCAUAUAUGCAUAGGUUGUUUGACCUAUUUUAAAUAAUGGAGAUUACAACAAAUGAACAGAUGUGGAUUAGUAGUGUUGUUGAGUUCAGAAGAUUGAAGUUAAGAAAAAGGUUUCUUGAUCCAGAGAAAAUUCAAAAGAGCGAAGUGUCUUCGAGAUCAGAAAACGAAAUAAGGAAAGGGUAAGGUUAUACUUUCAAAAUGAAUUUGUUGAGAGAUCUUUGAAGAUUAUUUUCAUUAACAAUUAGAUCCCACACUUGAGUCUUUGUCGUCUCAGUCAGUCAGUUAUAAAGACAAAUUAAUUUUGAGUAUGAAAGGACUUUCAAACUUGUGACCCUUCAAGCUUUCUAUGACAGCUAUAAUGAAUAAUUACAACAGUGCUACCUAAUAGUGAGCAACUUGUUUGAUGAAAUUAACAACUUCUUUUCUCUCAUGUAUUUUUAAAAAAUUGAAUUAUCAAAGCUUUUAUUUCAAAAUUAGUGCUAUAGUUCAUUAAUUUUGAAAAAUUUUCUUUUUUCUUUCCACACAACAGAUUGAUUUGCCCUCCAAAAACUGUAUUAGAUUGUUUAAUAUUGUAACUUCAAAAAACUUAUAAUAAAUUUUUAAAGAGAUAAAUAGGGAAUGUCAGUCUCCCAUCUACUCAAAAUUAAUAUAUAUCAUUAACUCUUGAUUAUUUUUAUAACAACUAAUAACUUUCUGGGCAGCAUAAUUUUACAGUAUCAUCCUUGUUUGUAAGUAUAUUUUUAUUCACAUUUAUUAUAAAUUAAUUAAGUCAUAUCAAUGAAAAUUGAAAUAGAAAUUGAAGUACUAAAAAAAAUGUUUUGGUGUGAAUAAAAAAUUGAAAAUAAAAAUAUUUUUAUUAUAUUUUUUAUUUUUAAAUGGUUUUCUUAUAAUAAAUAUAUAUUUUAUAUUCUCAAAUUGAAUUAUUGAGUAAAUGACUCAUUUACUCACUUUUUCUUUUAAUUUUGUUAUUAGGAGGAUUUUUAGAUAUAAUGAAAAUUGUAAGGUAGUAAGUAAUAUAAAAUAAUUUUAAUAGAGAAAAAUAAAAAAUCUGUAAUUUUAAAAUAUAAGGAGAAAAAUAAUUAAUUUCAAGAUAUUUUAGAAGAUAUUUCAAUAUGCGGUGGACUAUAAACUCGAGUCUUUGUCGUCACAGUCAACUAAAAGGACAAAAUAUUGAGUGCGAAGGGCUCAACUGAUUGCUAAUUUCACAGUAAUUGCGUUUUUUCUUUCUUUUUUUUAAUUAUUGGGAAAUAAUAACUUAGUAUAACAAAUAUUAGAUCCUAUACUUUAAUGCUGCAAAAUUAUGAAACCUUAUAUUAUAUUAUGUUUCCAUAUUUCUCCUUUAUAGUGAAGACUCACACACUUCUUCUGUAGUAAAUGCUAAAGUAUUGGCCUAAACUUUUUAACCAGCACAAUAAACCCUUAAGUUAUAUAUGCUAUAAUGUACCUCUUCCCUCACAGAUUAAACCAAUCUGAUCUCAGAGUGAGUUUGCAUCGAAGGAGUAUCCUUACUAACUAAUAUAGGCUCGAUCAAUAGGGAUGACAAUAAUUUUUUUAUCUACGAACAUUAUUUUUUCAAAAUAUUAUAUCUUUAGACUUAACUAAAUAUUUUUUUAAUCAUGUAUGUAUAGUUUGUUUGAUCUCUUUUAAAUAGUGGAGAUCACAACAAAGCAAAUGCUAAUUAGUAGUGAUGUUGAGUUCAGAAGAUUGAAGUAAUGAAAAUUAAGGGUUUCUUGAUCCAGAGAAAUUUCAAAAGAGUGAAGCGAAAAGUGAAUUUAUUGAGAGAUCUUUAAAGAUUUACUUCCAUUAAGGGUUGGAUGCCACACUUUUUGAGCCUUUGUCGUCCCAAUCAUUCAAUUAUAGGAUCCCUAAGCAUAUAACUUACAAUCCUUUCACAUAAAUAAUGAGUAGUGUGAAUCCAUACAACUUACAACCUUCUCACAUAAAUAAUGAGUAGUGUGAAUCCAUACAACUUACAACCUUCUCACAUAAAUAGUGAGUAAAUCUAAACUACUCACUAUUCAUGUAAAAAAAUUAUAAAUUACAUACAUGUAACUUAGCAUUAUUCUCCACUAUAAAGACAUAUUCUUAUUGAGGGUGAAUAGGCAUAUUGAUCACUAAAUUUUCAAACUUGUGAUCCUCAUUAAAUGUGAUUCCCCUUUGAAAAAGAAAAAAAAGUGCAAAUAAUGAAACAAAAUUAUGUUCCUUAGCAGCAAGUGGCGUCGGCAUUUUCAGACUUGUAAAAGGGAAUGAGAUCCUUUCCUGAACCCGGAUCUCAUUCCCUGUGAAACAAAAAAAGGUGCAAAUAAUGAAACAAAAUUCUGUUCCUUAGCAGCAAGUGGCGUCGGCAUUUUCAGACUUGUAAAAGGGAAUGAGAUCCUUUCCUGAACCCGGAUCUCAUUCCCUGUGAAACAAAAAAAGGUGCAAAUAAUGGAACAAAAUUUUGUUCCUUAACAGCAAGUGGUGUCGGCAUUUUCAGACUUGUAACAAGGGAAUGAGAUCCUCUCCUGAACCGGGAUCUCAUUCCCUGUGACAAGACCCUUGCCACCCUUCAACUCGCUUUCCAAGAUAGCUAUAUUAAUCGUGACAACAUUACUCUCAGUGAGCAAAAGUUAACAUCAUCUUCUCCCUAUUUUUUUAAAAAAUUGUAUUAUAUAGCCCACCAAAACUAUAAAGAGUCUUUUCUUAUUAAAAUUAAUAAAUUACUCUUUAUAUUAAAAAAUUAAAAUUCAAAAUGAAAAUGAUCUGAUGUUUAUUUAUUAAAAUAUAAAUAAAAUAUAUGAAGUUCAUAUUUUUUUAAAUUAAAAAAUAAGAACCUAAUUUCAUUCCUUAAAUUCCCAAAUUUACCUCACAAAAAUUCCAUAAACUUACUUUUGUCCUUAAUUAAAAUAUUAUUAUGUUAUUAUUAUGGUUAUUAUUCUUAUUUUUGUAAUAGUUGUUGUUGUUGAUGAUGAUAAUACAUAUAAUAAAAUUAAUAAUAAUAAAAAUAAUAACUAUAAUUUUAACAACAGCAAUAAUAAUCAUUAAUAUUAUUGUUGUUGUUGUUGUUGUUGUUGUUGUUCUUCUUCUUCUUCUUCUUCUUCUUCUUCUUCUUCUUCUUCUUCUUCUUCUUCUUCUUCUUAUUAUUAUUAUUAUUAUUAUUAUUAUUAUUACUAUCCUAUUAUAAUAAUAUUAUUAAAUAAUUAUUUUGAAUAAUAAUAAUCACAAUUAUUAUAACAAACGACAAAAAUCAACUAAGGUAAUUUUAAUAACUUGUAAGAAUUCAUUUUUAUUCAUGGAUAUGUGAUUAUUUGUUAAUGUAUGCAAUUACUUGUGAUGGUAAACAAAGUAUAUAUGGUAUAUUUUCAAGUUAAAAAAGAAAAACAAAACAAAGUUUUUACCAUUUCUUGCCUUAUCAUCUUUUAAAUUAGAGUUAUUAUUCUUUUUAUUUUUCAAGUUGCCAACUCAUCCGCAUUCUCUUUUAUUGAAUUUGAAGAUCGAUGAUCAUAAAUUUGUGUGAAAAUUUUAAGUAAAAAUUUUAAAUUAAAAUAAUCUUUUAAGUUAUUGGGAAAUAAUAACUUAGUAUAACAAAUAUUAUAUCCUAUACUUUAUUGCCACAAAACUACAAAACCAUAUAUUAUAUUAUGUUUUCAUAUUUCUCCUUUAUAGUGUGAAGACUCAUACUUCUUCUCUAGUAAAUGCUAAAGUAUUGGCUUAAACUUUUUAACCAGCACAGUAGACCCUUAAGUUAUAUAUGUUAUAAUGUCCCUCUUCGCUCACAGAUUAAACCAAUCAGUAGCCUUCUCUCAUAUAGAAAAACUUUUUGUAUAAGACAAAUUAUUAUGUUAUCGGAAAAAUUACAGUAGACGUAAGCUAUAUAUGUUAUAAUGUUCAGAAGAUUGAAGUUAAGAAAAUUAAGGAAAGGGUAAGGAUGUAUUUUCAAAGUGAAUUAUUAAGAGAUCUUUGAAGAUUACUUCCGUCAAGAGUUGGGUCCCACACUUUUACCUUUUGCUCGUUCCCGUGAAAGUCAGUUUAGAAUUUUUAUCUUAUUUCACAAAGCUAAUUUUUUAUCACAAGCAGGAGAGAAACGGCAUUUCUUAGCAGUAGUUCAUCACUGUAGUAGCGAGCGAGUGAGGAACAAAAUUGCCAACAAUUAUCAAAAAAUAAUUAUAUAAAAAAGAUCACAUGCUAUAAUUAAUCAUGACAAUUGACAACAUUACUCCCACCGAGCAAAAGUUAACAGCAUCUUCUCCCACAUUUUUUAAAAAAAAUUGUAUUAUAUAACCCACCAAAAGUAUAAAGCGUCUUUCCUUAUUAAAAUUAAUAAGUUACUCUUUAUAUUGAGAAAUUAAAAUUUAAAAUGAGAGUGAUUAAUGAUGUUUAUUUAUUAAAAAUAAAAUAAAAUUUAUGAAGUCUAUAUAUUUUUUAAAUUAAAAAAUAAUAACUUAAUUUCUUAUAGGGAGUGUUGGAAAUCAAGUUUUUAUUUCUUAAAUAUCCAAUUUUACUUCACAAAAAUUUUAUAAGUUCACUUUUAUCCUUAAUUAAAAUAUUAUUAUGGUUAUUAUUCUUAUUUUUGUAGUAGCUGCUGUUGUUAUUGUUGUUGUUGUUGUUGAUGAUGAUGAUAAUAGUUGAUAAUAAAAUUAAUAAUAAUAAUGAAAAUAAUAACUAUAAUUUUAACAGCUACAAUAAUAAUCAUUAAUGUUAUCGUUGUUCUUAUUAUUAUUAUUAAAAAAUAAUUAUUUUGAAUAAUAAUAAUCACAAUUAUUAUAACAAACAACGACAAUAAUCAACUAAUGUCAUUUUUCUAACUUAUAACAAUUCAUUUUUUAUUCCAAGACAAACUAACCAUAUCAAUAAUAAUACAGGUCGUUUCGAUUCUAAUUUUUACAGGUAAAGUAAAUAAUUUAUUCUGAUUCUCAUUUUUUAUUUUGAUUUUAUUCUAUUCCGAUUCCAUUUGAUUAUGAUUCCAGCCAAUUCUAAUUAUCGAUUAGAAAAUGCAUUGUUACUACUUUAACAAUAACUAAUGAUUCUCCUCACAAUUCUUAUAGGAUUAUCCUUAUUUUAAAAUAUUUUUUAUUCGUAUUUAUUAUUAAUUAAUUAAAUUAUAUCAAUGAAAAUCAAAUAAAAAUUUAACUAAUAAAAAUGAGAAAAUAUAUGUUUCGGUUUGAAUAAAAAAUUAUAAUAAAAUAUUUUUCUUACAUACUUUAAAUAUUUUUAUUAUAAUAAAUAUUUUUUUAUUCUCAAAAUAAAUUAUCAAGUAAACGAUUCAUUAACUCAUUUUUUUCCUUUAAAUUUUUGUUAUUAAGAAGAUUUUUGGGUAUUGACCGUGAAGGGCUCAACUGAUCGCUAAUUUUGCAGCAAUUACCUUUUCUUUUUCUUUUUUUUUAAUUGUUUUGAAAAAAUAUCCAGACUCAUUCUGCAAAGUACCUGAGACUAGAGCUGGCAAAAUUUGACACGACCCGAUUACCCGACACGAACACGACAUAAAUAAAUGGGUAUGGGUCGUCAAAUUUAACACGAUUAUUAAAUGGGUCGGGUCCGGGUCAACACGAUUUUUUUCCGUGUCGGGUUUGGGUUAAAAUUCUUGACCCAUUUACCCGAUCAAUGACCCGAUUAUAUUUUCUAUUUUAAAAUAAUUUAUAUAUUCUUAUAAUUAAAACUCAAAUAUUAGAGAUGAUUUUCUUUUUUUUUUUAUUUUUUAAAAGGGUGAAUAUAAACACAGUGUUUUAUUUAUAAAAUUUUACAUACAUUUAGAGCUUCAAUAGUGUAAAUGUGUAAAAAUUGAUAGACAUGUAUAUUUUAUAAUAUUGAUAUAUAAUAUUAUAUAUAUAUAUAUAUAUAUAUAUAUAUAUAUAUAUAUAUAUAUAUAUAUAUUAAAACUUCAAUAGUAUAAAUGUAUAAUAUAUUGGUAGAUAUAUAUAUUUUAUAAUAUUGAUAAAUUAUGUAUGUAUGUAUGUAUGUAUGUAUGUAUGUAUGUAUGUAUGUAUGUAUGUAUUUAUGUACAUACGUAUGUAUGAUAGUGUGUAAAUAUUUUAUGUAACUUUUGUUCAAUAUAUAGAUAUUAAACGGGUUAUUGGGUAACCCGAUUAUUUUUCCGUGUCGGGUUUGAGUCUCAAUAUUUUGACACGAUUAUUAAAUGGGUCGGGUUUGGGUCGAUCUAAAUUUGACACGACACGAAACUGACACGAUACGAACACGAUCCGAUGACCCGUUUUGCCAGCUCUACCUGAGACCAAAGCGCCGGCCAAAGCGCCGAAAGAUAGGACACCCACAUGUGCUUUUAUUUACAAAAUCUAAAGUUAGGGUGGGUGUCCAUAACUUAAAUUUAAUAGAAUUUAUAAUUAGGUAAAAUUCUUUGAUUGACCCAUUAACUUUUAUUAUUUUAUUAUUUAUUUUUAUAUUAAAAAAUUAGUAAUGUAGAAAAAUUCUUAAAAGUUAAUGGAGAAGGAAAAGAAAAAGAAAAAGUGUAAAUGAACUGUAUUCAUUUAAGUUUCAAACAUGUGGUUCAAUCUGAAUUCGUUUUUUUUAAAAGUAAAUACAAAAGAAAAUAUAAAGAAAAAAAAUUAAACGAGACAAAAAUCAGUGGCGUGGGUCAUUCAUAUCUUUUUCCAUUUUUUUUUAAUAGAGGUACAUAGCAUAGAGUCGAUAUUUUGAAGUGAAAAGCAGAACCUUUACUGUUGCUUCCCUUAUCAUCUUUUAAAAUUAGAGUUAUUAUUCUUUUAUUUUUAAGUGGCCAACGGAUGGUAGCCAACUCAUCCGUGUUCUCUAUUAUUGAAUUUAAAGAUCAAGGAUUUAUGUUAAUAAAUAUUUUGUUAACUAUCAAAGUUUUUAUUUCAAAAUUACUCCUAUAAUUCAUUAAAUUUUCAAUUUUUCCUUUUUCUAUUCACACAACAGAUUGAUUUGCCCUCCAAAAAAAUGUAUUAGAUUGUUUAAUAUUGUAACAUCAAGAAACUUAUAAUAAAUUUUUAAAGAGAUAAAUAGAGAAUGUCAGCAUCUACUCAAAAUUAAUAAAUAUACCACUAACUUCUUAUUAUUUUUAUAAUAACUAAUAACUUUUUUACCAGUAUAAUUUUAUAGUAUUAUUCUUAUUUGUAAGUAUAUUUUUUAUUCAUAUUUAUUAUAAAUUAAUUAAAUCAUAUCAAUAAAAAUUAAAAUAACACAAUAUGUUUUGGAGUGAAUAAAAGAUUGAAAAUAAAAAUAUUUUUCUUUUAUUUUUUGUUAUUUUAAAAUUUUUUUCUUAUAAUAAAUGUAUAUUUUAUAUUCUUAAGAUGAAUUUUGAGUAAAUGACUCAUUUACUCACUUUUUCUUUAAAUUUUUGUUAGUAGGAGGAUUUUUAGAUAUAAUGAAAAUUGUAAGGUAGUAAGUAAUAAUAUAAUAAUUUUAAUAAAGAAAAAUAAUUAAUUUCAAGACAUUUCAGAAGAUAUUUCAAUAUGCGGUGGACUACAUCCUUGAGUUGAGUCUUCAUCGUCUCAGUCAACUAAAAGGACAAAAUAUUGAGUCACAAAGGACUCAACUGAUUGUUAAUUUCACACCAAUUACCUUUUUUUUCUUUUUUUUUUCUUAAUCUAUAUAUUUAUAUAAAGUUAGUACUUGAGAAUGUGAUGUAUCAUCACCAUUUUUUUUUAUUUAAUAAAUAGAGAAAUUUUCUUUUAAAUUUGACUUUUCAUUUUCUCAUAAUUAAUUUGAUUGCUAUUGCACAAUAACAAUUAUGUAAAGAUUUUAAUGAGGCAUAUUAUUUGUAAUGAACAUUUAAGAGAGAGUGUUAUUUGUAAUGAACAUCUAAGGGAGAGUGUUAUGAAUUUAUUAAAAUAAAUAUAUAUUUUCAUAAUAUAUAUCUCUUAGUCUCCCCACUAUCUCCCAUUAGCAACCUUUAGCUUCCUUAUAACUCCCACUAUUUUUAUAAAUCCACCCACCUUCAUAAAAUAAUUACAAUAAGUUCACAUUAUUUUAUAGAAUUACAAAUUAAUAAUAAGUUUGAAUAAUUAAUUAAUUAAAUCAUUCUUAUAAUUUUUUUUCUUUCUUUGUCUUUCAACAAUCUUUAAUAAUUUAAGGUUGCUUUAAGAUAAGUUUAAUUUAAUUAAUUUACCCUUAUAAUAUAAAAUAACAAAAUUACCCUAAGAAAUAUAUAUUAUUGUAACUAAUUGUUUAGGCAUUUAGUUUUAUGUUUUAUAAUCUAAUAUGCUUUAUAUAAAAUUUAAUAAUUUUCAAUACUCCAAAUGUCCUAAUUACAUCUUGUUAGUUUAGUGAAAUAUUAAUAAUUAUACUAAAAAAGCAUUACUUAUACAUCAUUAAAAUAUAAAAAAAAUUAUUAAGUUAAAGUAAACUUUUAGAUAUUUUUGUUACUUUUACCUUAUAAGGUUAGAAUAAUUAUAUUAAUUUAUGUUAAAACAACCUUAUUGAUCAAAUAUAAUUAAAAAAAUAGUCUCAUAAAAAAAUUAAUGAAUAUGGAUUUAAUUGGUUAAAUUUUUAAAUUUCUUCUUAAUUUGAAUUUUUAAAAAAUAAUGUGUACUUGUAGUAAUGAUUUUUUAAAAUUGGGGUGGGUUAUUAUUGAUGACCUUUGAACAUACAUACAUAUUAUUAAUAUAUUUAUUAAUAUAUACGAUUACUUGUGAUGGUAAACGAGGUAGAUAUGGUAUAUUUUUAAGUUAAAAAAAAAAAACAAAACUUUUACCAUUUCCUGCCUUAUCAUCUUUUAAAUUAGACUUAUUAUUAUUUUAUUUUUCAAGUUGCAACUCAUCCUCAUUCUCUUUUAUUGAAUUUGACGAUCAAUGAUUAUAAAUUUGUGUGAAAAUUUUAAAUCAAAGUUUUAAAAUAAAAUAAUCUUUAAGUUAUUGAGAAAUAAUAACUUAAUAUAACAAAUAUUAUAUCUUGUACUUUAUUGCUACAAAAUUACGAAACCUUAUAUUAUAUUAUGUUUCCAUAUUUCUCCUUUAUAGUGAAAACCCAUACUUCUUCUCUAGUAAAUGCUAAAGUAUUGGGUUAAACUUUUUAACCAGCACAGUAGACCCUUAAGCUAUAUAUGUUAUAAUGUCCCUCUUCCCUCAGGAUUAAACCAAUCUGAUCUCAGAGUGAGUUUGCAUUAUUUGUCAUCAAAGGAGCAUCAUUACUAACUAAUAUAGACUCGAUCAAUAGGUAUGACAAUAAAUUUUCUGUCUACGAACACUAUUUUUUAAAAUAUUAUAUCUUUAGACUUAACUAAAUAUUUUUUAAUCAUAUAUGUAUAGUUUGUUUGAUCUCUUUUAAAUAGUGGAGAUCACAACAAAGCAAAUUCGAAUUAGUAGUGAUGUUGAGUUCAGAAGAUUGAAGUAAAGAAAACUAAGGGUUUCUUGAUCCAGAGAAAUUUCAAAAGAGUGAAGCGAAAAGUGAAUUUAUUGAGAGAUCUUUGAAGAUUUACUUCCGUUAAGAGUUGGAUGCCACACUUUUUGAGCCUUUGUCGUCCCAAUCAUUCAAUUAUAGGAUCCUUAAGUAUAUAACUUUCAAUCUUUUCACAUAAAUAAUGAGUAGUGUGAAUUCAUACAACUUAUAACUUUCUCACAUACAAUUUACAACAUUCUCACAUAAAUAGUGAGUAAAUCUAAACUACUCACUAUUCAUGUAAAAAAAUUAUAAAUUAUAUAUAACUUAGCAUUAUUCUCCACUAUAAAGACAUAUUCUUAUUAAGUGUGAACAGACAUAUUGAUCACUAAAUUUCCAAACUUGUGAUCCUCAUUAAAUGUGAUUCCCCUUUGAAAAAGAAAAAAAAGUGCAAAUAAUGAAACAAAAUUAUGUUCCUUAGCAGCAAGUGGCGUCGGCAUUUUCAGACUUGUAAAAGGGAAUGAGAUCCUUUCCUGAACCCGGAUCUCAUUCCCUGUGAAACAAAAAAAGGUGCAAAUAAUGAAACAAAAUUCUGUUCCUUAGCAGCAAGUGGCGUCGGCAUUUUCAGACUUGUAAAAGGGAAUGAGAUCCUUUCCUGAACCCGGAUCUCAUUCCCUGUGAAACAAAAAAAGGUGCAAAUAAUGGAACAAAAUUUUGUUCCUUAACAGCAAGUGGUGUCGGCAUUUUCAGACUUGUAACAAGGGAAUGAGAUCCUCUCCUGAACCGGGAUCUCAUUCCCUGUGACAAGACCCUUGCCACCCUUCAACUCGCUUUCCAAGAUAGCUAUAUUAAUCGUGACAACAUUACUCUCAGUGAGCAAAAGUUAACAGCAUCUUCUCCCUAUUUUUUUAAAAAAUUGUAUUAUAUAGCCCACCAAAACUAUAAAGAGUCUUUUCUUAUUAAAAUUAAUAAAUUACUCUUUAUAUUAAAAAAUUAAAAUUCAAAAUGAAAAUGAUCUGAUGUUUAUUUAUUAAAAUAUAAAUAAAAUAUAUGAAGUUCAUAUUUUUUUAAAUUAAAAAAUAAGAACCUAAUUUCAUUCCUUAAAUUCCCAAAUUUACCUCACAAAAAUUCCAUAAACUUACUUUUGUCCUUAAUUAAAAUAUUAUUAUGUUAUUAUUCUUAUUUUUGUAAUAGUUGUUGUUGUUGAUGAUGAUAAUACAUAUAAUAAAAUUAAUAAUAAUAAAAAUAAUAACUAUAAUUUUAACAACAGCAAUAAUAAUCAUUAAUAUUAUUGUUGUUGUUCUUGUUGUUGUUGUUGUUGUUCUUCUUCUUAUUAUUAUUAAUAUUAUCAUCCUAUUAUAUUAUUAUUAUUAAAUAAUUAUUUUGAAUAAUAAUAAUCACAAUUAUUAUAACAAACGACAAUAAUCAACUAAGGUAAUUUUAAUAACUUGUAACGAUUAAUUUUUAUUCAAAGAUAUGUGAUUAUUUGUUAAUGUAUGCAAUUACUUGUGAUGGUAAACAAAGUAUAUAUGGUAUAUUUUCAAGUUAAAAAAGAAAAACAAAACAGAGUUUUUACUAUUUCUUGCCUUAUCAUCUUUUAAAUUAGAGUUAUUAUUCUUUUUAUUUUUCAAGUUGCCAACUCAUCCGCAUGCUCUUUUAUUGAAUUUGAAGAUCGAUGAUGAUAAAUUUGUGUGAAAAUUUUAAGUCAAAGUUUUAAAUUAAAAUAAUCUUUAAAUUAUUGGAAAAUAAUAACUUAGUUGUAAUAAAUAUUAUAUUCUAUACUUUAUUGCUACAAAAUUACGAAACCAUAUAUUAUAUUAUGUUUUCAUAUUUCUCCUCUAUAGUGAAGACUCAUACUUCAACUUUUUAACUAGUACAGUAGACCUUUAAGCUAUAAAUGUUAUAAUGUCCCUCUUCGCUCACAGAUUAAAACAAUCUGUAGCCUUCUCUCAUAUAGAAAAACUUUUUGUAUAAGACAAAUUAUUAUGUUAUAGGAAAAAUUACAGCAGACGUAAGCCAUAUAUGUUAUAAUGUUCAGAAGAUUGAAGUUAAGAAAAUUAAGGAAAGUGUAAGGAUGUAUUUUCAAAGUGAAUUAUUAAGAGAUCUUUGAAGAUUACUUCCGUCAAGAGUUGGGUCCCACACUCUUAAGCUUUUUUCGUCUCAAUCAACUAACAAGACAAAUUAUUAUUGGGUGUGAACAGUCCGGCUUAUUGAUUGUUAAAAAAAUAGCAUUAUUUUGAGCGCACAUGUUGAGUAAGUCUUAUUUAACGAAAGUGAAAAAUAAGGUUCAAAUUUUAUUUUAUUGAUAUUUUAAUAAUAUUUUUUUUUAUUUUUUUAAAAUGGUGUUUAGGUAAAUAAGAAAUUAUUUAUUAAAAUUCAUUUUUAAAGUUAAAAAUUUAAAAAGAAAUGAGGUUUAUCCCACAUGAAAAAAAGAAGCUUAAGAAUUAGUAUUUAUAUAUAAACAUUUAACCAUUCAUAAAUAAGAAUUAUAGGAAUAGAGACUCUUUUCACACAUACGUGCGUAAGGGGUACAAAUUCAAGACGAAUUUAGUUGAACUCGUGUGCACCUGCAUAUCCUGAGAACGCAAAUGUCGGUGAUAAAUUUGUUUUAAAGAUUCUACUCUGUGUAGGCCUCGGUUCCAUUUUAUUUUUUCUGUUUCGGUUUUCAUCUCUCUUCGGUUUUGCUUUCUAUUAUUUCAUUUCAAAUUUCAGUAGUUAUCUUUCGUUGCUUAGCUACUGUUUAAUUUGUUACCUCACCGUUUGUUUUAUCUAACAUUGAUCACCAAAUUUUCAAACUCGUGAUCCUGAUUGAAUCUGCGUUCCCCUUUGCAAAAGUAAUAAAAAAAAGUGCAAAUAAUGAAGACUUUCUCUUUUCACAUUUUUUACGCGUUUCUCUUUUCUCUCCCCCACGUGAACACUUUUGCCUUUUGCUCGUUCACGUGAACGUCAUUUUAGAAUUUUUAUCUUUAUUAAUCAUGACAAUUGACAACAUUACUCCCACAUUUUUUUUAAAAAAAUUGGAUUAUAUAACCCACCAAAAGUAUAAAAAGUAUUUUCUUAUUAAAAUUAAUAAAUUACUCUUUAUAUUAAAAAAUUAAAAUUUAAAAUAAAGAAUGAUUGAUGAUGUUCAUUUAUUAAAAUAAAAAUAAAUUUUAUGAAGUCUAUAUAUUUUUAAAAUUAAAAAAUAAGAACUUAAUUUCGUAUGAACUGUAUUCACUACUUAGUAUUCUUAAAAGUUAACGGAGAAGAAAAAGAAAAAAAAAAGUGUAAAUGAACUGUAUUCACCUAAGUUUCAAACAUGUGGCUCAAUCUGAAUUCGCUUUUUUCAAAAGUAAAUACAAAAGAAAAUAUAAAGAAAAAAAAUUAAACGAGACAAAAAUCUGUGGCGUGGGUCAUUCAUAUCUUUUUCCAUUUCUUUUGUAGAGGUACAUAGGGUAGAUAUUUUGAAGUGAAAAGCAGAGCCUUUACUGUUGUUUGCCUUAUCAUCUUUUAAAAUUGGAGUUAUUAUUCUUUUAUUUUUAAGGAUGGUAGCCAACUCAUCCGUGUUCUCUAUUAUUGAAUUUAAAGAUCAAUGAUUUAUGUUAAUAAAUUUUUUGUUAACUAUCAAAGUUUUUAUUUCAAAAUUACUGCUAUAAUUCAUUAAUUUUUCAAUUUUUCCUUUUUCUAUUCACACAACAGAUUGAUUUGUCCUCCAAAAAAAUGUAAUAGGUCGUUUAAUAUUGUAACAUCAAGAAACUUAUAAUAAAUUUUUAAAGAGAUAAAUAGAGAAUGUCAGUCUCGCAUCUACUCAAAAUUAAUAAAUAUACCACUAACUUCUUAUUAUUUUUAUAAUAACUAAUAACUUUUUUAGCAUUAUAAUUUUAUAGUAUUAUCCUUGUUUGUAAGUACAUUUUUUAUUCAUAUUUUUUAUAAAUUAAUUAAAUCAUAUCAAUAAAAAUUAAAAUAACACAAUAAGUUUUGGAGUGAAUAAAAGAUUGAAAAUAAAAAUAUUUUUCUUAUAUUUUUUGUUAUUUUUAAAUGUUUUUCAUAUAAUAAAUGUACAUUUUAUAUUCUUAAGAUGAAUUUUGAGUAAAUGACUCAUUUACUCAUUUUUUUUCUUUAAAUUUUUGUUACUAGGAGGAUUUUUAGAUAUAAUGAAAAUUGUAAGGUAGUAAGUAAUAUAUAAUAAUUUUAAUAGAGAAAAAUAAAAAAUCUCUUAUUUUAAAAUAUAAGGAGAAAAAUAAUUAAUUUUAAAAAAUUUUAGAAGAUAUUUCAAUAUGCUGUGGAUCACACCCUCGAAUCUUUGUCGUCUUAGUCAAUUAAAAGGACAGAAUAUUGAGUGUGAAGACUCAACUGAUUGUUAAUUUCACAGCAAUUGUCUUUUUUUUAUUCUUUCUUUGUUUUUCCUAAUUAUUUUGAAAUAGUAGGUAGCAAUUGCUUACAUCAAAAUAUCUAAACUCACUCAGCAAAGUAUCCGAGGCCAAAAUGUCAAAACGUGGGACACCCAUACAUCUAAUUACAAAGUCUAAAGUUAAUGAAAAGAAAAAAAGAAAAAGUAUAAAUGAACGGUAAUCACCUCAUUUUCAAACAUCUAAUUCAACAUGAAUUUCUUUUUACGAAAAGUAAAUUUUCUCCCGGAUUGUCCUCAUUACAUUAAACGAAUGAUGACGACGCUCUGUCCGUUUCUGACUCUCUGCUUUGCUCUCUCACAUCACGAGACACCUCGUUUCUAACUGGGGUACCACCAUCAUAUUUAACUGUCGGGUCUUCCUACUAUGCACCUAGUGUAUGCAUGAUUCUUUGUGACAUGACAUAUAGCCAAUUAAAUUCUGACAUGCUUGCAAUAAAGACUGUUAAAGUGACCGGUUAUUCCGGUUGAUUUCACAAGAUCUUUUGUUUGUGUGUUUGUGUUCCAAGUUGUGUACUCUAUGUUACGACUCCUCUGAUUUUUUUUUUUUUAAGUCUGUUAUACAGAGAUAUUACUGACAUUACAUCAAACAUUACAAUUAAUAUUUACAAUCAUACUAUAUAACUGGGACCACCACCAUACAUUGACACACUGAAGUAUAUGCCCAGAUAUUUUAAACCCUCGAAUUAUACACAGAUAUUACUGACAUUACAUCAGAUAUUACAAUUAAUAUUUACAAUCAUACUAUAUAACUGGGACCACCACCAUACAUUGACACACUGAAGUAUAUGCCCAUAUAUUUUAAACCCUCGAAUUAUACACAGAUAUUACUGACAUUACAUCAGACAUUACAAUUAAUAUUUACAAUCAUACUAUAUAACUGGGACCACCACCAUAACAUUACAAUUAAUAUUUACAAUCAUACUAUAUAACUGGGACCACCACCAUACAUUGACACACUGAAGUAUAUGCCCAGAUAUUUUAAACCCUCGAAUUAUACACAGAUAUUACUGACAUUACAUCAGAUAUUACAAUUAAUAUUUACAAUCAUACUAUAUAACUGGGACCACCACCAUACAUUGACACACUGAAGUAUAUGCCCAUAUAUUUUAAACCCUCGAAUUAUACACAGAUAUUACUGACAUUACAUCAGACAUUACAAUUAAUAUUUACAAUCAUACUAUAUAACUGGGACCACCACCAUACAUUGACACACUGAAUAUCAGACAUUACAAUUAAUAUUUACAAUCAUACUAUAUAACUAGGACCACCACCAUACAUUGACACACUGAAGUAUAUGCCCAGAUAUUUUAAACUCUCUCUAAUAUUCGAGGGGUGCCUGCUCCACUCACAUUUCGUAAGGGAGAGACUGUCUCCAUUCAAUUAAUUAAUAAUUGAGGAAGAACUGAAACUAACCUCUAUAAUGCUCUUAUGGAGGCUCGAACCCUUGCACUCAACAUUAUAAGUACAAGGCUUCUCCCAUUGGACCAAAGGCCUAUUGGUAUGAGUUCUCUGAUUAAGUCUGAUAUUAUCUGUUGCUCAAUAAUGUUACAGGUUUUAUAAUAUGACUGGUACGAUCGCUGUCACAAAUUUAGAACGAAAAGUUUCCAAUAAAAUAAGUUAUUUAAUUAAUUAAAUAAGAAUAAAAUGAAUUUGUGAAAAAAAUUUAAAUUUAAUUUUGAAUUAUUUUGACCAAAAUUUAAGUUUUUUUUAAUUUGUUUAAGAAAAUGUGUUGUAAUUGUCUUGUUUUAAUUGGAAAAUCAAUGAAAAAAUUAUGUAACAGACAAAAAAAAAAAAAAAAAAAAGCAAAACGGUUUGUUUUGUAUGGAGGCCAUAGAUUCUAAUAUUUCCUUCACGAAAACUACAAAAAAAUUAUCAAAGGCAUCAAUUUCUACACUCUCACCGAGCAAUACUCUUAACCCAGAAGAAAGUGUAUAAACCAACCCCAAUCAGUCCAUCAAUGUCGUCAACCUCAUACAGCAUAAAAAAAAAUCUGUGUCCAUUAAACCGCCAUUUAAACCGUCUUUAUUGAACCAUUAGACUAUUCGUGUCAUCUUCCCAUCUCGUUGUAGUAUUUUACCUUUCAAAUUUAGUUAUCAAUUCUGGAAAAUGGGACCAAUCUGCAAGUCUUUAAAAUAGAAAGAAACUUUAAUUGGGCACUAUGUUCACGGUAGUGGACCCAGCAGCAUUAAUAUUUAGGGUGGAGCUAUUUAUAUUUUAAACAUUCUAAUUUUAAUAAGAAUAUAUAUUACAAAUGAUCACGACAUUGGGGACCAAUCACGUUGACAAGCAUUUUUUUUAUUUAUUAAUAAAGUGCUCUGAAAAGAGCUAAGGCAAUACUAAACGGGGGUGGUCCCGUUUUUAAUCUAACAUAGAGUCUUAAAAACCUUGUCAGUGGCAAAUGAUCACGACAAGAAAUCUGAAGGAGAAACAGCAGAGCUCAACAAAUCACUAAGAGAAAAUAAGACCAAUAACCAAGCAGAUAAAAGAAAAGCAAAAUAACCCAUCUCAAAAUCACCACAUGCACUAUUUAAGGGGUUUGUGAUAUGGGUUUAAAAAUAAUUUAACAAGUGCCACCUGUGAAUUGUCAGAGAUUGUAUCUUCAUACACAUGUCAAAUUUUCAAGUCCAACAAAUUGUUAUCUUUCUAAAGAGGCUAAUAUUAUUAUUAUCUAUGCAUAGCAUGCUAUAAACAAUUCAUAUUACUAGGGCCUUUGUUUUCUGUACACAACAUAUGGACAGAGGAACAAAUCCCUGAGCUAAAAUCAUCAUAUUCCAAAAUAUUCUAUUAAAUCAACACCACAAAACGCGAACGCUAAACAGAAUUGGAGCAAUUUACCAAAGCUAUUUGUCACGCAAAGCACUAGUACCUCAGAACCCAAUUUGCAAAAAAGCACCAAAAAUGAAAAAUAACAAAUGCCCAGAUGAAAAAUCAGGAAAAAAAAAUGCUCAAAUCCAAAUUACAACCCCAUAAGCUGAGUCGUUCUAUUCGAACUGAAUUAAAAAAAAUUAAUUAGGGAGAUUGACCUCAAACUUUGGAAACAGAAGCGACAUCGAUCUGUUUCUUGUCUGGAGUGUCCAUUUCUAUAAUCUACUUUGUCCGUUUUCAGUUGCUCUGCCACAAAGCUUCUUCCCUCUGAAGCUGAAGCUCACACACACUUGCAAAACGAAAGCAUUUUUUAUUGAUUGAGAGGCGGGAAGGCGGGAAAAUGAGAGAAAUUUGCAUUUGUUUUGUCUUGGUUUGGUCAUACCUGUGCGGGCCCCAGCUUGACAAGCGGUAUUAUUACUAUUUGUAUAAUUUACAUGACGCGUGUCACGCAAUGACGAUAAAAUGUAUAUAUUGUUAAUUUUUCACUUAACAUUGAAUGAUUGAAAUAUCAUAUAAUUUUUCCAAUUUUAUGGUUAUUUUCUCGCCCUUAUGCCACAUUCUUUUGAUCAAAUAAUACAGUAAAACUUUUCUAUAAUCAUAAUAUUAGAGCCAAAUUAACUUUGUUUCUGUAAAGAGGCUAUAGCUUAAUAAAGGUAAAAUUAUAAAAAUUAUUAUUUUGACUCAGUUAUCUUUAGUGCAAGUGAUAUAAAGUACAAAUAUAUGAUAAUUAAUUAAUGAACUAUGUCAAAUACAAUAUGCUGACAAUGAUAAAAAAGAUAGACAUAAUUUCAAGAAACUAAUACAUAUAUUUAUGUAGUGCUGGGAUUAUACAAAAUUAUCUUAAAAGUGUAAAGAGUAAAGUAUUAUUCUAAUUAAUUUAAAAAAAUUAUUUUUUCUUAAUCUUUAAUGCAACAUAGCUUUUUUUUUUUUUUUCUUAGCAACAAAGCAUUGUUCCACAUAAUUAUUAUUGGAUUCAAAUCAUGUCCUAGGCAUUUUUUCUUCUAGUCGUCUUAAACUUUUAAUGAUUUAUUGGCAUGCGUCAAUCAUUAAUGAAAUUAAAUAACUAAGACUUUGUUUUAAUUAACGUUUACAUAAAUAGACAUCAAAACUCACAUGUGAUUCUUAUCAAAUUUUUUCCUGCAAAUUCUUUUCCUCUCAACUAUUCAUAUUUUGACAUUAAUUUCCAGCAAAUUAUUAAAAAAAAGAAGAAGCGUAAAAUGGAGAAAAGUGAUUGACAACAAGGUUUGCAUCUUAAUUUCAAAAAUUUCCUUUCUUUGUUAUUUUUGUGGGUUCUACAAUUGUUGUUUUCACUCUCAGCUGCAGUUCAAUGAACUCUAUUAAUAACCAUGAAGCUUAAUGUAUCAAUUCCAGUACGAGAAGUCCUUCUACGCAUGUUACAACACUUUUUUGUCAUUAUAGGUUGCAAAUGUUCCGUAAUGUACUCAUUCAUAUAACGGAAACGCUAUUAUCAAUAAUGAAAGUUGACUAAGUUUGUAAAUUCUAUUUAACGAAAAAGUAACAUAAAUUUAGUUGAACAAGAGGUAAUUAAUAUGUAAUCUAUGAAACUAGGGUGUGACUAAGUUACAUAGUAAUGUAACUUACAUGAACACAAAAAUAAUUAGUUUUUAAACUACAAGUAAUUUUGGAACUGCUCUUAAAUUGAUAUAAGUUUUAUUAUUAUGUAACUUAGCAAGGUCAGGUAUUUUAAUAAUAGCACAUCACUAUUGUUUCAUGUGAAUGAUGCAAUUGGAUUAGCCAAUACAUACCGUCAUCCCCGGGAGAUGCUAUGGCAAUAGCUUACUCUAUCGUGCCAAUGUCAUUAGUAUUAAUCUGUUGAACCUAAGACCAUAUCUAAGCUGAUCUAGAUUCCCCAAGAUCGCACACCACACAGUGAUUAAUGAAUCAAGAACAAUAAACCAUCAAAGAAUCGCAAACUUACAUGUCGGGUUACAUGUAAUAAAUGUUUUAAUUAUUAGAUGAUUCAUAAUGUUAGACCAUUUUUUGUAUGUUUUGUAAUCUACGUUUGAUAAUUGAAUUAGCUGAUAAACACUUGAAUAAUAUUAUUUUAUUAACUAUGUCAUUGAUCCCCAGGAAAAAAAAAAAAAAACCCAAUUUGGGAUGUUAUACAUUACUUUUUCAUUACUUCCCAUUUUAGAUUAAUAUUUAUCACAUAUAUUCUUAGUAACUUGUAACCCUUUUUGCUAAGGGUGAAAUGUGUUUGUUACCCCUUCUAUUUCUGAGAUUGUCCUUACAAUAAGGAUGCCGGCCCCAAUGUCAAAAACUGCUAUCUCUAGGUGUAAAUUCCUUAUAAAAUUCUUUUUUAAUUGAAAUUACUUAAAUAAUUGAAGAUAAAUUAUUUUUUAUUUCAUUCAAAUAAAAAAAUCAAUUAAACACUUAAAUAAGCUAUCCUUUUAAUUUUUUUUUUUUACACCCAUCCAGUUUCAUAAUUUAUAUUUAUAAUUUAAAUUUUAAUGGAAAAUAUUUUUUUGAAAAAUUUUAAGAAUUAAGAAUUAUGGGGAUAAAAAUUAUGUAAUAAGACCAAAAUAAUUUAAAAUUUUAAAAUUUGCAUGUAUUAUAAACAAAAACUUGAAAGAAAUACUCUUUUCAGGGUGAGAUUUAAUCAGAAAAAGAUUAAUUUUCAUUUAUGGAUCAGUAUUUUAUAAAUUAAACAGAGGUAUUUUAAGAAAUAGAAUUCAAAAGGCAUGGGAACAAGGGCAUGGCAUUGGGUUUCCUUUUGUUUUGUAUGGAUUGGGAAAAAUACACGGACAGACAAAGGGAACAGUCAUUAUAAUGAUGUGGAACUUGUCGGAGAUUCCCUGCCCAUUUGUAGCUUAGACUCCUGGGGUUUUGUUCAUGUCUUUUCUGUAUCCCACUUUCUCAUGCAGCAGAUGUACAUAUGAUGAGAUGAAAACAACAGCAAAAAUUGCUGUCUCAUAAGAGAAAUAGUCAUACAUAGUUGGUUAGGCCUCCAGUCCAUUAACUUAAUAAUCAAUUUUAUGAAAAUUGAUUAUCUCAUUGGAAUUACAUAGAUAUUGGAAAACAUUACUCCAGCCCCACCAUCCCAACCAUUUACUUAGUUCAUCAGUAAAAGCUGGAUUUACCAUUUGUUCUUGAGAUUCAAAUUAAGGCAACAAGUUGCUCAUUCUAUAUUAUCUAUGUAAUCCUGUAAAAGUGAAGGGCGUUUAGAUGUGGAAAAACCUUACCCCUGCCGCAACACCUCAAACAGAUUGUGAUCAGACAAGACUUAGUUCAUCAUUAGUAGUAGUUGGAGCUUCCAUUUGUUCUAGAGAUUUAAAGGCAGCAAGCUGCUUCCUCAGUGCUACUAAUUCUUCCCCGGCAUUGCAUAUGUAGCCUGAGGCUUGUCUACCAGACAAAGUUGCUCCUUCCAUACCAUCUAUGUAAUCCAGUGAGAGUGAAACCAUUUAGAAGACGUAUCUCUUUCUUUCCAAUAUUUAGAAUGAAACAAUUAUAUACAGUUACCUGUUUUGCAUAUGAGCCGGCGAGGAAGAAGUUCUUCACUGGUGUCAUUGGAUCACGUCUGAAGGGGUCUUUACCAGGUCCCUCACCACACAAAGAUUGCCCGAUUUUGACGAAAGAUGACCAAAUAACUUCUAAACCUUGGGAUGAUGGAAAUGGAGCUAAAACCUAAUAAAAGGAACCGUGAAUGGAUAGUAUGGACUCAUGUAUAUUAUCCAGAAAGUUGCAUGACCUUUUGUGGUACUCAGGUCACUAAAAAACGUGAGAUAAACAUCUAGGAUAAGAAAAGCAAAAAAGCAUAACCUAAUACGUAUUAUAUGAAUUGAAGGUGUCACUGAACGCUACCAACCUGCUUUGCCACUCUCCUUAUGAUUUCAUCAUUUGGUAAGGGCAUAUAAGGAUCUCCAGGCGUCAAAACGCAUCUGAAAGAUAAUAUGGUUAUAGUUAACAAAAUGGAAUACAAAGACACUUGGCAAAAGGAAGUCAAUCAGAUUCCAUGCACAAAAAAUAACUAAUAAUGACGAGGAUAAGAAAUUUUGCACACUGGUGCCUUCUCUAUAGUAGUCUUCUGGCGAAGUAAGUGCUAGAUCUGCAAAGCAAGAGAAAUCUGCAUCUGGAGUAUAUAAAAGGUUAUCUAACUCCACAGCUUGCCUCAAUUGCCUACAUGUUCAAAACAAGGAUCUAUUAAAAAAUGGAAAUUUCUUCAAUGAAUUAGUGAAGGUAAGUGAAGUGAAACCGGAUUUCUUAAGCCUUCACAGAGCAUCUUGUGUUUGAAUUCCGGUAACCUCAGAAAAGAUUAGAGCAUCACCUUGACCGUUCUAGGUCUUGCAACUCAGUAACCCAACCAUUGUAUCUAAGCUGCACUGUGACAACAUGAACUCCAACGAGCUCAUAAAUAUUGUUGAAAAAUUUCAUUUCCCUCCAGCCUCCACAAUGAUGAAAGCAAUCUUUUAAUUCCAGGGACAUCACAUGCUGCCAUUAAAUAAGAAGUUGAAUAAAGAAAAAUCGUUCAACUAAAUGAUUCAGGAGUUAAAACAAAAUGUAGAAGUAGAAAUAAAUAACGAAGAUUUAACCAUAAACCUGCAACAUUUGCAUCAGCUUGCACAACCUUCUUGUCAGUGGCCUGAAAUAGAAUGAGAACUUGAAAGACAGUAAGCAUAAAAGAAUAAACUCAAAGAAGCUGCUUCUUACAGAUGAUAUAAACAACAAAUUUACAAAUGUCAGGUCAUUGCAUUAGCUCCAUGCCUCCAUCAGAGGGAAUAUUAAUAGAUGCAUAAAAAAAUAAUUAGAGCCACAUGUGAAACAAUUUACCUUAGACAUGGCAAGUGCUUUAACAAAUGUUUCCCCGUUAGCAGAUUUAUCAUAAAGUAUCUCUCUGCAUCCCCACCUAAGAUGGAACCUGUUCUCACAAGAACAGAUCCCAAGGUUGGGAAAAUCAGUUCAUCAUAGGAGAAAACAAAUAUGAUUAACAAAUCGCUACAAUGGUGUGAACCCGUAAAUACAAACGUACCUGCCCCCUUUAUCUGUGAUAUAUUUUCUUAUGGGCCCACUCAAAUAUACAUCCGGAGAACCCUUGAGCAUCAGCAAUAGGGAAGCCUCGGUCUUAGUCGCAAAUAGUGCAAGUAUAGUAAGCAUACAAUGAGCACUGAUGUUAUCACAAUCAAUAAACCCAAGGGCAUACGCAACAGGAUCCCACAUUCUUUGGAUACUUGUCCGUGUACCACCCUUGGACAAAAACCAAUCAGAGAAGCUUAUGUGUAAGAAGAAAUGAAGUUUUAGGUAAAAUAACAAUUUGUAGGAACAGGGAUUGAAAUUCAACAAACAAGAAAAUAUGAUGUCAUUCUUACACUAUCCAAAUCUCAUAUGUCCUUCAAGGCUCCAUCAGGAUCAACAAGUGCCUUUACAACAGGACUCAGAGCAAGAGCAAGAGCAUUUCUUGCUUUAUCAUAAGUCUGCACUUGAGCAAUAUACCAGGCAAAGUACAUCAAAAGAGAAUCCAAAAGAGGCAAGAAGCUUCAACAUGAAAAAAGGAGUACUGCCUCAUCAUACUGCUUUGCAAUCACAGUGCAAAAGAUAACAUCAACAAAUCAAAAUCAAGCAAAAAUCCAUAUGCACUACCUUAAGCUGAUUUGUAGACAAAAGUGUGCGAAUCCCAUGUAACGGAGCUUCAAUCGGAAACCGGAAAUCAAGUUCUGGAGUUGAAAAUCAAAAUCAUGAACCAAAUCAGAGUUAUUAUUGAAUUUGACAAUCCAUAAACCAAUAGAAGGUGAUGUCAAACCAUCAAGCAUAACUACCCACCAAGCAUAACUAUUAGUAGUUUUAAGUGAUCAAGAAAUAACCAUACCACCAAUUUCACUACCCUUAUUUACAAAUGUAUGAGUAUGAUCCUUCAUGAGUAAGUUUUUGUCCGCACCUACCUGUCGAAAUGCUUGAAAAACUAUCAGAUCAUAAACACAGGCUCCAGUUAAAGAGGAUCUAUGACUCUGAUCCAUCAUGUUAUUUGAACAACAUUUUCGAAUUUUGGUACAACCCUAAGCUAUAAUCAGUUAUCAUCACUACAAAUGAUAUGGUCAAGAGGAAUGAUAGUUCUUGUUUCAAGUAUCUCAAAUCGUAAUUCUUUUGCAUGGCUUGUGUGCUUUUAUAAUCAUUCAAACACGCAUAUCCACAACUAAGCAAGCUUUACCAUUUUCAUCAAUCGGAAGAGAUUAUUGUAGCAUCCAAAGAAAAUGUGCAGACCCAUUUCAAUAUGGUUUUCAAGUUUAUCGACAAAUGAACCCACUUUACCACCAAUAAAAGACCUCGACUCAUAUAUAUCCACCUGGAAGAAAGGAAAAGUUAAAAAAAAAAAGUGUUGAGAAUUAUGUUUGAUUAAACUUAAUUCUUUCCCCAAGAAAUCUCCACACACUGAUCUUAUUGAAACAAGAAUGAAUACCCAAGAUAGUAAUCAGAAAUAAAGCAAGAGUGUUUAGACAGAAAUAGAGAUUAAAAGCAUAGAAUAAACUGGACACAAGGAGAAUUCUAGAGGUUCGGCUGGGUAGCCUACAUCCUCUUGAGAAACAGAAGCCGUAGCUUUUCUUUGAUGCUUAACAGAUUACAAGACUUAGAGAGUUUGUUACAAAGAACGUUGGUUAUCUAAACUUGGCCUUGGGGCCCUUAUAUACAGCUCUCGAAGGAUCCAGAUAAGUGUGCUGCUUGCCAGCUCUUGUUCUGGGUUUGUUGAAACAAACCCAGAAAGUUCCCGCCAAGGCUAACCAUUGAUAACAGCCUUUUAAUUAGAAACGACACUUGCUGCUGCCGUUUAACUAAAGCUUGAAUCCGUAGAUGCUCGAGCAAUUCACGUGCAUUACUUAAGCUAUUCGUGUGACAGGAUAUGGUUGUCAUAUGCGCAGCAUUAUCUGUCUGAUUGCUUUGUCGUUUCUUGAUUAAUACUAGACACGACAAAGUCAUCUUCUCCGUAAGCUCUUAAUUCAGGCUCACAAUUAACAAAAAGGAAAAAAAAUUCUUCUAAUUUCUUUCACCAUCAACAAAAUCAGAAAAACACAUACUAGUUCAAAAUAAAAUAAAGUUUGUGAAUUGAAAUAAUGCCAACUCCUAAGAAAAAUUAUGACUGCUGAUAUUUUUUCCGAAAUGCUGAUAAAAGCCUCUGCUAUUUACUUUGAAAAAAUUGAGGUUAGAAGCCAAUUUACUUGAAAUUUUGAGUUUAGGCAAGAGGAUGAAUGGUAAAAGUGAAACAUAUUAGGGAAAAAUGUACUUCAGAGGCCAAUGAAAGCAUUCAGAAGAUUGAAAACUAAAUGAGCAAAACCUCGUGGCCAUGAUCCAACAAUUCCACUGCUGUUGACAUGCCUGCAAGCCCAGCUCCAAUAAUAGCCACUUUCAGCUUUGGUCCUCUAUAAUGUUCCAGUUCUGGUGGAAACAAACCCUUGGGAGCUGCCAAGUAUACCAUCCAAUUAUCCACAGCGAUAAUGGAAAUAUAUAUGUGUUUGAAAGUACUAAAUUCCUAAACAGGAAAUGUAUCCAAAAAGAGACACAAAGCAGAAUUUCGUAAGCAUUUCAAUUCCCAAUAAAUUUCGAGAAUACAAAAUACUCGGUCUGUUCUUCAAUUCCUUUAAUAAAAUUUCCACUAGAGGCUACGCAAGCCACUCAAUAACACGCCAAAGCCAGAUUUUAAACGUUAUCUUUAUCUUUAACUCCAAUCCACAAACAAUUCUGCCAGAAAUUCAAUCCAAAAUUGUUCAAGUGCACCGCCAAUUCUCCAUCAAUUCCCUCAAAAAUUCAUAAUUGGCAAACAAUACAAACCAAAAAGAGCUUCCGGCAAUAAACGCAUAAAAAUCCACCAAGCAACAUAAAACAAAAUACCCAGAAACCAGAAAAGCCAAAAGAUCAAUGCUUGUGCAAACAAGCAAAUCAAAUAAAACAAAAAAAAGAGGAAUUUACCCUUAACGCUCAUAUCAGAAAUAUUAGUAUCCAAAGAAGCCCGUACACGGAAUCUUGGACCCUUCACUUGAACCCGAGACCAUGUAACGCCAGUAACUGAAGUUGCAGGAAACAGAACUGAAGAACCCAUAUUGCAAAUCCUGAGCUGAAAUCAAGAAUUUCAAUUGGAACUCAAUUCAGCUCAACCCAGCUGAGCUCUCUUUUGCUUCAAUAACAAAGUGUUUUUCUUUUAUAUCAACAAAGAUUUGUCAACAUCAACAAAAUUUAACUAAGAAACUAGAAUAAUAAAAGAGGGCACCUUUGAGUUUAAGAAUCUAACAGGAUGCUAAGGAAGAGAGUUUUGUCAGGGAACUGUUUCGGAGAGGUUGGCCAAGUGCUUUUUUGUUUUUUAUUUUUAUUUUUUUCUCAUUUUGGCCUUUUUCAUUAAUACACAACAUCAGUACUCGCGAAGAGCACAAAAUGUUGGUGACUUUGUCACUAACGAUAGUGGAUGGAGCGACCAAAGCAACCAACUAAAUUUUAAAGAGAGGGAAUGACAAGCAAUAUUUUAAUUGGGUGAUUAAUUAAUGUAUUAUCAAGCAAUUGCAUUUAUUUAUUUAAACGAUGUCCUUAUCUUUGGACAAGGUUGAGGAAAGACCGCGAUGUUGUGUUGUCACGUAUUUUUGGGCCGACCGUUUCCAGUUUCGGCUUAAAUGAGGCUUUUGUAUUUUUGUGCCGUUUUUUUACUGAGUAUUUUGUCCUAAAUUACACAAAGAAAAUGUGUAUUUGUUAAAAAAUCUGUUGAAACUCAGAACCUCUUAUGUGGACUUUAGAAUGCGACAGUAUUGAUAUCUAAGUUCGUAAUAUCAAGAGUGAUAAAACGGAUAAAUGAAUAGAAAUGUAAAUAAAUUUGGUUAAAAUUUAAUGGAUUCGAAUUCGGUAUGUUAUCAAACAAAUCAUAAUCUUAGGAUUUGGAUUCAAUUCAUUUAUUAAUUGGAUACCUAUUUAAUUUGUUUAUUAUACAAAAUUAAAUGAAUUGAAUUGAAUUGAAUUUAGAUUCAUUUACAAUUUGUUUAAUUUAUUUAUGUAAAAUUAAUAAAAAAUCAAUCAAAUGUGGAUUUGUUUAAAAAAUAAUAAUAAUUAAUAGCAAAAAUCAAGCAAAGUAAAAUAGAAAAAAAAUCAUAAAAUUAACAACCUACAAAAUAAAAACGAAUUAGUGACCGCAAACUUGAAUUCAAUUCAUUUAUUUAACGAAUUGAAUUGAAUUCACUUAUUUGUUAAUGAAUCAAUUUUUUUUAAAAUUCAGACCUAUUUAACUUGAAUCAAAUAAACACAUCCUAAUCUAAAUUGUCACCUCUAAAUAUGAUGGACCUAUUUAAAAUAUAUGAAUACCAAAAUGUGUGGGCUAAAAAGUGGUUUACCAUGCAACAAUACGAAGUUUAAGCUCUCUUUUCUUAUGUCAUCCAAGGCAUUGCCUGGAUCGCCAAACACUAGAGUUCAAGUCUACAAUAAAGAAUCGAAAUUUUUCUUUGUAAAUGUUCGUAAGUAUUUAGCAUAGAUUUUUAAGUUAUACUUGAUAGAUCCCCUACCAUAUUUGCUAUAAUAUUUCUCUUCUUUUAAUUUAAAAGUAAAUCAUAAUAACGGAUUUGUAAAGAAAUUAAAUUUCCAGUAAUUAACUGAAAAAAUAAAAAAGAUGGAUUAAGCGAAAGAAGUUAAUAUAGAGUAAAGUCGAGUACUUGACAAUUAAAGUAAUUUUACUCGAGGUUGAGUAAGGAUAGUAUGAUACUUUCCCAGGUUUUCCGAGGACAUUCAUGUAACAUUGGACUAUUGACUAUAGUUAGAGAGAAGUCCAAGGAUGUAAGUGAUGAUGAUAGAUUCACAAUUCUUUUGAAGAAAAUAUUUUAUAUAAACUUAAUUAUAUGGUAUAAAAUGAUUGGCCUUAAUAAAAUUAAAAAAUAAUAAAAAUAAUACACGCCUGGGUCAUGCAAUAUUUUCAACCAACUAAUUUACACGCAAAAUUAAACCUUAUGAGUGAGAACAUUAUGGUACAUUUAUAUGCUAGCAAAAACUCCGCAAAAAUUUUCCGAAAUGUGAAAAUGAACACUUUUAACAAUGACACAAAAUUCCCACCCCCCAUGAUUAAUUCUCUUAUCUGGAAUAUUAGGGGGAUUGGAAAAGCCCCUGCGGAAAUUAGUUCGAUUACAUCGAUUGUCUUUGAUUUGUGUGUUGGAGCCAUUUAUUUCCAUUGAUCGUUUAGAGGCUCUUCGGGUGCGGCUUGGGAUGGAUCAUGCUUUAUCUUCCCAAUCUGGGAAGAUUUGUGUUUCUGGUCCGCACCUUUCUCGGUGGAGCUUCUGCAUGACAUGGGCAAGGUGAUUCAUUGUCGGGUUAGUCACUCUUUUUUUCCUGAUCCUGUGUAAGUUUCAUAUGUGUACGCUAGUUGUUAUAUGGAUGUGCGAGAGAAUUUAUGGGAUGCUCUUAAGACCUUUGCGGAUAGUCAUGAUCUACCUUGGAUCGUGGGGGGAGAUUUUAAUAUGAUUCAGGCGGUCUCGGAGAUUUCUGGCGGGCAUCCACAUACUCGGGGAGCUAUUGAUGCCUUUAAUUUAGCGUUGCUUGAUUGUGGUUAGGAGGAUGCUGGCUUUGUUGGCAGUCCUUUUACUUGGACUAAUGGGCGCCCAUGGAGGCAGCUUGAUAGGGUGGUCUGCAACGCUCACUAGUAUGCUUUCUUCUCAGUAUUUCGGGUCUCUCAUCUGAAUCGUACUGCCUCAGAUCAUUCUCCUUUGCUUUUUCUUGGUGAUCGGGGCGCUGUUAGAGGACCUUCACGGUUUAAAUUUCUUCAUGUGUGGCUCAAGCAUCCAGGUUUUCUUGAUACUAUGCGGCAGUCUUGGGGUGCUCCGGUGGUUGGUUCUGGAAUGAGAGCCUUUCAACAGAAACUCACUCGGUUAAAGUUCUGCCUAAAAGCUUGGAACAAAGAUGUCUUUGGUAACGUUUUUUCUCAGGUCCAACAAGCAGAGGAGGACAUGGCUCAGAAGGAAAGAUUGUAUGAUAUUUCUGGCUCCGUCGAUUACAGAGCUAAUUUUUCCGAGGCCAGGGCCUGGUUGCAGCAUGCUUUGCUUCGUGAGGAGAUUUUUUUUACGUCAGCAGUCCAGUGUUCGAUGGGUUCGAGAGGGCGAUGCUAAUACCUGUUUUUUCCAUGCGAUGAUUCGGAAAAAGUGCCAGUUGUUUCAUAUUCACAGGAUUCGGGUUGAUUGUUUCUUAGAGUGGAUUUCUGAGCCCUCCGCCAUUGUAGAUUAUGAUGUCGAUUAUUUUCAAGAUUUAUUAACGGGAGAUGCCAGUCAGUUUCAGCAGACGGACUUCGAAGUUAUUCCAUCUCUUGUGUCUGUAGAGGAUGAUGUAGAGUUAUGUAGAGAGCCGGAUAUGGAUGAGAUUAGACAUGCGGUAUUUUCUAUUGAUCCAGAUAGUGCUCCUGGACCGGAUGGUUUUUGUAGCAGAUUCUAUCAGUCGUGUUGGGACAUCAUUUGCCGUGACUUGUUAAAUGUUGUCCUCGAUUAUUUUAGAGGUUCGGCAUGCCCAGAGGUUUCCAAAGUACUUUAUUGGUCUUUCUGCCUAAGAAGGCUUCUCCGGCUUCUUGGGCUGAUUUCCGUCCGAUUAGUCUUUGUAAUGUGAGCAACAAGGUCCUUACUAAGUUGCUUGUCCCAUCUCCUGCCUCACAUUAUUUCUCAUACUUAGAGUGGUUUUGUUCCUGGUCGAGUGAUUCAUGAUAACGUGCUCCUGGUUCAGGAGUUCGUUCACGAUCUCAAUCGCCAUAGUCGAGGGAACAAUGUGGUGCUGAAAUUAGAUAUGGCCAAGGCAUACGACGUAUGUCAUGGCCUUUUAUUAUUCAGAUGAUUCACUGUUUUGGGUUCUCGAAGCGUUGGAUUUCUUUGAUUCGGCGAGCGAUUUACGGUCCUUAGUUUUCAGUGCUUAUGAACGGGGUCAGUAACAUAUAUUUCUAGUCCCAGAGUGGUCUUUGGCAGGGUGAUCCCCUUUCCCCUUGCUUAUUUAUUAUUGCUGCAGAAUUUUUAUCUCGAGGCUUGGAUCAUUUGUAUUCUCAGUAUCCCUCUGUUCGGUAUUGUUAUACUGCACCUACUUCUAUCUCCCACUUGAGUUUUGCGGAUGGUAUUGUUAUUUUUGCAAAUGAGAGCCGAUCUAGCUUACAGUGGCUUGUGGAUUUCUUACACCAUUAUAAGGUGAUCUCAGGGCAGUUGAUUAGCGAGGACAAGAGUAACUUCUACAUUAGGAAGUCAGCUUCGACCUCCCGCUAGGCCAUUGUUCACUCUGUGACUAGCUUUCAGUGACGUCAGCUUCCGUUUACUAAUCUUGGGUGCCUGAUCUUUACAGGGUACCUCAAGAUCUCCUAUUUUGAUGACAUGGUCCGGAAGGUCAAGGAUAAGAUUUCUGGCUGGGCUAACCGUCUGCUUUCCUUUGGUGGGAACCUCGUCCUCAUUCGCCAUGUGUUAUCCUCUAUGGCCCUGCACUUAUUUCACGUCCUCCGCCCUUUUAUAACGGUAGUUUAACGCCUAGAGCGAUUGUUCACCCGAUUCCUAUGGGGUGAUUUUGAGGGAAGACACCAGAUCCACUAGUGUAGAUGGCCAAAGGUUUAUUAUCCAGUUGACGAGGGUGGCCUCGAUAUACGAUCUUUUGAUGAUAUGGCGGAGGCUUUUGAGAUUAAACUUUGGUGGCGGUUUUGUCAGCAGAGUUCCUAUAUGAAGUCUAAGUAUUGCAGAUCUACGCAACCAAGCCUUAUCCAGUUUCGCUAUCUUGCCUCUCCUUUAUGGAGACACCUUUAUAAGAUUCGUUGCACGGCUAAACCUCAUGUGCGUUGGCUCGUUGGGAGUGGAGAUUGUAGCUUCUGAUAUGAUUGUUGGCUGAGUUCUUGCCCUUUAUUUUUUUAUAACCCUACAGCGGCUUUGUCGGUGCCGGUCUAGUUCUUUGGCAGGGUACAAUCUGGGACAGAGGCAAACUAAGGGACGUCUUGCCUUCAUCUAUUGUUGAGCAGAUCCUAUUAGUGCCUAUUUCUAGUGGGAAUCCAGACCUGAUUCGUUAGGACCUUGCCCCCGACGACACGUUUAACUUGCGGACUGCUUGGGAGCUUGUACAGUGCUCUAGGUCGAGGGAUGAGCUUUUCUCGAUGAUUUAGUAGAGGCAUAUCCUGUCACGAGUUUCCUUUUUUCUCUGGCAGCUACUUCACGGAUUCCUAGCUACUGAUGAUGCCUUAUACUUGAGGGGUUUCUAUAUGGUUUCUCGAUGUAUUUGUGGGCGGGUUGCUGAGACUUCUCGGCAACUUUUUAUGGAUUGCCCGCGGGCCCGUCAUAUUUGGGUUCAUUGCCAGCGGAUCAUGGGGAUGCGUGAGCUUUAUUUUCUGUCUCCCCGUGCUUUGCUUUUAUUUUGGAGACAUUGUGCCCCUUCUCGGAAUCAUCAUCGGGUCCUUCUGCCUUACUUCAUUUUGUGGCAAAUUUGGAAGGCCCUAAAUGCUUUCCAGUUUCAUUCACAGUCUUUCUCCACUGAUGCGGUUAUCUUUCAGGUCGACUCUGAUCUCAGGCUCGCUAGUUCUGCUUUUGGAUUCAAGCCUCCCCAACUGAGGGGAGUCUUGGGUUCUCGUAUUGCGGAGGGCUUGCGAGUUAUGGCUCCCCCUAGGAGGUCGAUUCGUCUAGUUGCUUGGAUGAGGCCAACUUCAGGGGUGGCUAAGCUGACUGUGGAUGGUUGCUCUGGGGUCAACCUUGGGAUGGCUGCUUCCAGGGGUAUUCUUCGGGAUCACCGGGGCAUGGUUUUAGCGGCUUUUGGAUCCUUUUUGGGUUACAAGCCGAUCUUAUAUGCUGAGCUCAUGGCGGUGUGCGAGGGUUUGGAGCUUGCCAUUCAGCUUGGGUACUCAGUGCUCGAGGUUGAGUCAGACUCGGCUAUGGUGAUGUCAUGGAUUCACACCUCAGGGUCCUGUUCGAUGGGAAUGUUCUUAUUCUCUACGCCGGGUGUGCCGUCUGGUAACGUCAUUCCCCAUUCAGGUGAGACAUGUUCUUCGCGAGGCUACUUAUGCUGCUGAUUUUCUAGCCAACUGGGCGCGCACUCAUCGGACUAGCCGGUGUUUCUUAUCUCCUCGAGAGCUUCCCAAAGGCUUAUCUGGUAUUCUUUACUUAGAUCCCCACGCAAUCCCCCAUGUCAGAUGUUAGGAUUUUAUCUUUUUCUUAUAUCUCAUUUUCUCUAGGAGGUUUUGGCUUAUAUCCCCCUCCUUUAUAUCUAAUUCAUUUUCAGAUUUAUAUUAUAGGUAAGGGUUCCGCCUAGCUCCCACCACUCUGGUGGUUUUAAAAAAAAAAAAAAACAAUGGCAUAAAAUGCCUGUGAUAAUGAAACAAUGUGCCAUCCUUAAACUAAUAUCAUUACAAACUACAAGUGAAAGUUUUUGGAAAACAUUGAGAAGUUUUUCUCGGAAUUUGUUUUCUUCUUUGCUUUGAUUUAAGCGUAAAUUUUUAAAAUCCGUAACAAAACAAAAAUUUACAUGGGUUGGGCGCACCUUGUGGUUCGUGCAUGCUUUCGUCUAAUAGUAUUUGAUACAUACAAAUUCAUUUUAAAAUUGACGAAUCGUAAUAAAAAAAUUUAUAUAUAAUAAUUGAGUGAGAUCCAUGGUUCACAAUUGCAAAUUAAUGGUUGGUUUUAUAAUAAAAAUCUUUAUGUACAUACCAAAUUAGAAAAGGUUAUAAGUGAAUUAAGAUUUUCAAAAUUUGACUCGUAUUAUAUUAUGUACGUCAAUAUAAUAUAAAUUUGUUAUAUAUAUAUAUAUAUAUAUCCAAUGCUUUCAAAAACUUUAUACUUGUUUGAACAGAUUUUUUGCUUUCUAUUUGUAUACACAAACACUUUUUUAGGACACAUGUAUAAUUAAUCUUAAUAAUUCUUAUACAAUCCUCUAUUUAAGACCAGCAACGUCACCCAUUAUAAUUUAUCACUAAAUAUUGUAAAACUAUUGGUUUUCACGAAUAACUAAUAAAAAUUAUUUUUUUUGUAAGAAAAAUACUGCGAUUCCUUUCACUGUUGUAGUAGUAUAGUUAUCGUGGACGAUGAAUUUCUAGUAUUGUACAAUGAUAUUUAUGUUGAAUGUUUAGGGAAUGAAAUAGGGUGACCAAGAUAAAGGGGUUUGCUCAUACAUUAUCGUGCUCUCCUCAAAGCAAAAGUGAGCAAAUGGUUGAGCAGAUCAUCUCGACCAGAAUAAUAUGUGGUGACCUCGAGUACAGCACCUCGACCAGGAUGUUAUUGGUCACCUCGACCAGGAUGUUAUUGGUCACCUCGACUAGGAUGUUAUUGGUCACCUCGACCAGGAAGUCACCAGGAAGCACGUCAUCCGCGAGGCCAAUUUCCUGUAAGAAGCAUAAAGCCAUUCCUGCUGCAUUCUUGCUAAGGGUUGAUUCGAGGAGACCCGGUCAACGACAGUUGGCGAGGCAUGCUCUCCAGCCCGAGAAUCUAGGCACGAAGGCCACGCAACCACCCAUGACUACGGAAAUGGGGAAUCCACAUUCGAGAGGUGGGAGGACAACGGACAUAGACUGCGGAAAACUGGGAUUCAGAGGAAGCCUAUAAAAAGGUAGCCAACGAAGGUAAAAGGGUUAGCAAUUUUGAGAUUAGAAGAGAGCUAAAGAAAUUCUAAAGAAGAGAAAACUAUGAAAAAGCCAUAAGAUCUGUGGCAAGCGUUCCCCGAACCUUCAUAUCUGACUUGAGCGUCGGAGGGUUUGCGCCGGGAAAACAACCGGCGUACUCUGACUUGUCUGUGUGCGCAGGAACCUCUGGAGAAGAAGCCUUACGAGGAGACCUUCUGGUCGUGGUGAAGUUGAUCGAGCAGAGAUCCUGGUCGUAUAACGAGGAGAACCAGAAUCUCGCAUCAACAUUUUGGCGCUGUCUGUGGGGAAUGGUACAAAAAGCCAGCUUGUUAUCUUUAUCAAUCUUCAUCUGGCCGAAGUGAAGGCAGAAUAUUGCGGUGCAUAAAUGGAUGAGCUUGCUUAAACAAGGAAGCAAAAACCUUAAAGGAGAGCACAUUGAAAGCACACGUUUGUAAAAAUCAGAACAGGUCAGAAGUUAAAUUCUUAUUUACAAGCAAUUUUUUCAUGAAAAUUUAAUUAUUUCUCUAAAUCCUGCUAUGUGAGAUGAGGAGCCCUUAUAUUCAUUAAAUUGAUUGUGCUCAUAUUAAGGCUGACUGUAUAACUUAGUUAACUUGAUUUCUUGAAAGCUAUUCAAUAUGAGAAUGAUUUAAGAAAAUAGAGCUAGGCUAGCGUUGAGAAACCAAUCAAAGCUUACUAAUAAGGCAUGCAAAGGCUCCAAAGUCUCAAAGCCUGUCUUAUGGCGAGACAGAAGCCAAGCGUGCCAGGAUCUGCUCGACCACGAGAAGGCGAGUAGAAUCCCAAUCCUUGAAGAAUUUGAAGGCAUGCAAAGGCUCACCAAGUCUCAAAGCAUGUCUUAUGGCGAGACAGAAGCCAAGCGUGCCAGGAUCUGCUCGACCACGAGAAGGCGAGCAGAAUCUCAAUCCUUGAAGAAUUAAAGGCACGCAAAGGCUCAUCAAAGUCUCAAAGCCUGUCUUAUGGCGAGACCAGAAGCCAAGCGUGCUAGGAUCUGCUCAACCAAGCGAAGGCAAGCAGACUCCCAAAUGUUGUAAAAAUUCCUAAGGCAUGCAAAGGCUCACCAAAGUCUCAAAGUCUGUUUAUGGCGAGACCAGAAGCCAAGCGUGCCAGGAUCUGCUCAACUAAGCGAAGACGAGCAGACCACCAAACUUUCAAAAAAUUCCUAGGGCGUGCAAAGGCUCCAAAGUCUCAAAGCCUGUUUUAUGGCGAGACAGAAAGCCAAGCAUACCAGGAUCUGCUCAACCAAGCGAAGACGAGCAGACCACUAAAGUUUCCAGUCUUGAUUCGUUUCACUCUCAAUACUAGAAACUGGGGGACUGGUGUUUAGGGAAUGAAAUAGGGUGACCAAGAUAAAUGGGUUUGCUCAUACAUUAUCGUGCUCUCCUCAAAGUAAAAGUGAGCAAAUGGUUGAGCAGAUCAUCUCGACCAGAAUAAUAUGUGGUGACCUCGAGUACAGCACCUCGACCAGGAUGUUAUUGGUCACCUCGACCAGGAAGUCACCAGGAAGCACGUCAUCCGCGAGGCCAAUUUCCUGUAAGAAGCAUAAAGCCAUUCCUGCUGCAUUCUUGCUAAGGGUUGAUUCGAGGAGACCCGGUCAACGACAGUUGGCGAGGCAUGCUCUCCAGCCCGAGAAUCUAGGCACGAAGGCCACGCAACCACCCACGACUACGGAAAUGGGGAAUCCACGUUCGAGAGGUGGGAGGACAACGGACAUAGACUGCGGAAAACUGGGAUUCAGAGGAAGCCUAUAAAAAGGUAGCCAACGAAGGUAAAAGGGUUAGCAAUUUUGAGAUUAGAAGAGAGCUAAAGAAAUUCUAAAGAAGAGAAAACUACGAAAAAGCCAUAAGAUCUGUGGCAAGCGUUCCCCGAACCUUCAUAUCUGACUUGAGCGUCGGAGGGUUUGCGCCGGGAAAACAACCGGCGUACUCUGACUUGUCUGUGUGCGCAAGAACCUCUGGAGAAGAAGCCUUACGAGGAGACCUUCUGGUCGUGGUGAAGUUGAUCGAGCAGAGAUACUGGUCGUAUAACGAGGAGAACCAGAAUCUCGCAUCAACAUUGAAUAUAACGCUUCAAUGAAUUUUAUUACUAUAUACUAAAAUACUCAACGAUCUUCAUUAAAAAAAAAAAAAUUGCAUGAUUAGAAUGAUUAAAGUUCAUCUAAUGACUAGUUUCAUCAUUGACUCUGUCGAAACACAGCAGCAAUCCAGAAUACAUUUAACACGAGAGGCGCAGACAAACAUGCAUGAUGAAUCUUCCACCAUUAAACCUGAAAUCAUAAAAUGAAAGAAACCAGAUGAGUGUUGUUUGUCUGAAAGCCGAUUCGAGAAAAAUAAUAAUAAUAAUAGACCUUUGUUAAUAAUUAAUACUAGUUGUCACUACCUUGUGCAUCUUCCUCCUCUGUAUCAUCGUCCUCUUCCAAUCACACCGCAAGACCAGUAUAUCUCGAGAAUCUUUACUGCCUUCUCACAGAUCCCAUUGCUGUCAUGUCUUUUUAGAUCUUCAAUCAUUUUGAAUCCCUCAGCCGCCUCCACCAACCGUGCAUAAUGAUUAAAAUAUCUAUUGGCGGUACCCGUAUUCAUUUCAGCUUCCCCGACCUUCAAAAUGUUCUCUAAUCCUUUUAAGCAAAUAGUGACGAUCUCUGGAUCAGCGUAUAGAAGGAGAUCACACAAUGGUUUUAUACACCCCUUUCUCACGAGGUACUUGAUUUGCUCAUGAGUACCACCUGAGAUGGCAUUUGAAAUUGCCCGAGCGGCCUCCUUCUUUGUAAAAAAUUCAGCAUUUUGAAGCAGAUCGACAAGGGGACCAAUUACGCCAGCAUCAAUUACCACCUGAAUCUGUUCCCUGUUACCAGCUGUAAUAUUUGAAAUAGUCCUGCAUGCCUCUUUCGCAAUGCCUGUACACUGAGUCAGGAAACCAUCUCCCUUCACAAUAUAUCUGACAGUCCACAGGGGAGGAGUGAGCCCGAAGGGGAAGGGUAAUGGAUGAAGAAGGAGCUUAACAAGUCGUGGACAGACAUCUGCCUCGAUCACAGCUUGAAUUUUGUCAUUCGUACCAUCAGAUAGACAGGAUAGUGCCUCGCAGGCAUAUCUCAAGACAUCGUUGUCAUUUGAAUGAACAAGUUGUGCAAGCGCAGGAAGAGCUGGCCUCACCUGAUCAAAUGGUGGCUCUGGCUUGCCCUGGCAAAAACGAGACAAUGUCUUUGUGGCAUUUCUUAGCAUUGAAGGCUUAGCAUGCUUAUUUAACUGUGCCAGCAACGGAAUCAAAGCUUUUUCACUGAGCACAAGAUCACGGUCUCUAGGUGAGCUACGAGCAAUAUUUCCCAGUGCCCAAACAGCCUUCUCUCGGACAUCAUCACUUGGAGAAGAAAGUAGCUUCACAAAUAUUGGAACAGCACCGCCGUCGAUCACCACAUUAGUAUUCUCAGAAGCAAUGUUUGUAAGAGCCCGAGCAGCUUCCAACUGAAGCUGCGGAUUGUCUUCCCUAGUAAGAAACUCAACAAAGCGCGCGACAACGCCAGAUUGUAUGACUUUCUCACUUGGUGGUAGGAGCAGUUUUCGGAACCAAGUAGUUGCUUCCAGCUGCAAGCCACUGUCAUCUGACCAAACCCCAGCAAGCAUCCCGGGUAAACUCACCAACUUAUUUUAGGAGCAGGAGCAGGAGGAGGAAAUUAAGUUAGGGAUUUAGAGUGAGAGUGAAGGUGGAGAAAAAGCAAGAGAGGGAAAAAGCUUAUUGUUGAGAAAUAUGUACCUUUUGUAUGGUUGUGUUAAGGUCGUCCUUCCAAGCCCAACAUGCUUCACCAUGCCGCUCCACUUUGUGUAAUUUGGGUGUACUUAAUUUUCCUUCAGAGAAAAUCUUCAUAUCGGGGCAAUCAUCCACCACUAAUCUUUCUAAAGAUGGGAACUUGAAAGCACAAUUGCCAGAGCAGAAGCUUGUCAGGCUUUCUAAGUCUACAAGCUUCAACUCCUUCAAUUCUCUGAAAGUAAUAACCUCAUCUUUUGCUACAACAUCAUCCCCCAGUACUAUUUCUGUUAUCCUAUCGCAUGAUUUUAUCUUCAUAUAUCUAAGUUGCACCAGAGUCUUUGCAAUUAAGGAUGUUAAUACGAUUUUCAAGUUGUUGCAACGCGAUACCACCAUAUUUGUAAGAUUCUGAAAGGAUGUCGACGGUGGCACUAGAUUGACUAAAUGGUCACACCCCUUUACACGUAGAAUAACCAAGUUGUUCGUAACAGAGGACUCCCUUAUCAAAAUGUGCUCCAGAUGAAAUGCUUCUCUUAUUUCUACCCACAUCCCAUUUUCAACCUUCUCAUACGGCAACGAGGCACUAUAUCCUCCUAUUUGGAGGACUUUCAUUGUGUGAAGUCUCUGGAGGAAGUCACCAAGUGAUAAAAUAGUCCGCUCAUCACCCAACGCCACAAAAAGAUAUUUUAGUUUGCAAAGCAAGCCUUCAGAAAAUAGAUAUUUAUUUGUUACUGUGUACUUUGCACGAACUAUCAACUUUUCCAAAUUAGGGAAUACCUGGGAGAACGAUCAGAACCCCAAAAAAAAGAAAAAAAAGAAAUACAAGAUGAAUCAAUUGAUAAGAAAUAUAAGUUGCCACUAAUUUAUACAAUAUAUUUUAUUCAAUAAAUCUUAACCUUUAAAAAAAAAUAGUAAUAAUAGUAUGCCUAACAUCUAGAAUAAUUAUGAAUGAAUACUAUACACUAAUCUGUAAGAGAGUUACGUUGCUGACAAUUUGAGUUUUAGUAAGAAACCAAGCGAUGAAGGCAAAGGCAAUAUAACUCUAAACUCUAUGAUAUAAACUCUCACAGUACAUACAUAAGAAUUGAAAAAUUGAUUAUAAAAUUCUUGUACGUACCCUUUCCGUGAAGAUACUAGUAGUUCUCACCAUGAAUUCAGGACAUUUAGAUAUCCGUAAUUCUUUCAAGGAUGGAAAUUCAAGAAUAUCAAGAUCUCCAGUGCAGAAGCUUGUGAACUUUUCAAGAUCAGACAUCUUCAGAUAUUGCAACUGAGGAAACAUUACAAUAUUUUUCUUCCUUUCUUCUUGGUUGUCCAUAACUAUUAACUCUUCCAAGACAGGACAUCCGACUAUCUCAAUGCAUUGGAGUUGAACAAAGCUACUAACGGUAGAAGAUGAAAAUAGACAUCUUAAAUUCAUACAGCAGGACAGGGUCAAGCGCGUUAAAUUCUGAAUACCACAAGACAUGACUGCAACUUGGUUUUGCCAAAUCCUUUCAACAUUUAUUGAAAGCAAAUGCAACUUCUCUAACUCUGGUAACCGAACCUGCUCGAUCAAAAAAUUAACUCGUUAAUUACAAGCAACAAUGAUUUCUGUUGAUGGACAAAUCAAUAAAAUUACUCUUUCUCUGGUUAUAGUUCUUUUCAGUUUUUCAUACAAACAACCGUUAAUCAAGUUUUCCAAAUUAUUCCUUACUAAAUGUAUAGAUUUAGACGGCGGCUAAUAUAAUUCAUAUUGCAAAUAUUCUUUGAUUGUAACGAAUUUUGUAAUAUUAAAUUUUGGCUGAUUCGCAAUAGGACCUACUAUCCAGCGCGAGCAGUUCUCGUGGAUUUAACUACUGGCACCUCGAUUAUAUAAAAAUUUGGAAUAUUUUCAAAGGAAAUCACAUAAUUUCCCCUUGCAAAUAGUAAUUAUCAUUAAUUGCCGCGGGUUGACAUAUAAUUCUAAGAAAUUAGGCGAGAAGAGUCUCAUCAACAAUCAAUCAGCAGAUAUCACGUUUGGCAGAUCAUCAUGAUUUCCUCAUAUGCUAGAGAAUCAACGUGAUUUCCGCUCAUGCAGGAGCAGGAGUGGACACAUUAUCUUAGAGCAUCCCUCACUGAGAUCUUUUAAAAAAUUUAUAUUAUAAAGUGAACAACAUAUUAAGUAUAGAUUUAGACGGCGGCUAAUAUAAGUUAUAUGUAUUCUAAUGACGUAUAUUAAAGAAAAUGACUAACCAUAAUUUCAAUCAACUUAUUAGUCUAUAUAUAUAUAUAUAUAUAUAUAUAUAUAUAUAAUAUAAUAUAUUCAGUGAUUACAACAUAUUUAGUAUUCCAUAACAUGAAGUUUAUAAUAAUAAUUAUUAUUAAUUCACUUAUUGUGUCAAGAACAUUUUCUUUCUCUAAGAAUGAAUUUGUUACACCCUACUAUACUACGGAUGAAAAAUUUAGAAUCAUUAUGAAAUAUAAUUAUUAAUCACUCUUUGCCAUAUUUGCGACCAAAGAAGAAUAUAACAAAGAAAAGAAACAAAAAUUAUAGAGAAUUAAUGAGACCAUUGACGUAUUAAUAACUGACCUUCCCAGUGAAACGCGUAUUAGAAAUUUGGAUAUUGUCCUCCAAAAUGAUUUGAUGUGACUGCAAAUCAUUAGCUGAUUCCUGUUGUCUCUGUUGACAUUGAGUGUAAACUUAAUUGUGAGCACAAUCUUAAUGCAUAGAUACAAGAUCUUUAAAAAUUAGUAUAAUAAACUUAGCACAAAAUCCAAAUUUGAUAUUUCGGAUUCCAUGAUUAAGAUUUUUUAAAUAAAAAUUUAAUAGAGUUAAUUUAAAAAUAAAAAUUAAAUAUGAAAAAUUAGAUUUGCAAUUAUGGAUUUAAUUUUGAUAAAUAAUGAAUGUUCUCUUUAUAUUUUUUUUUAAAGGUAAAACAGCGUACAAAGCCCAAAUUCAUUUUUUUAGUCCCUUACUCUCCCAUGAUUCAAACUUGGGUGGUUGUAGGGGGACUGAAAAUAUAUAAGACAGUUAACUUCACUUUUUUUUUUUUUUUUUUGAGAGAAAAGAGAAGAAGGAUAUUACAAAGCACGAAGCUCGUGCAAUAUAAGGGCAAUUAUGGUUUUUUCUUUAAAUUAAAAUGGUAAGAUUCUGAAGCUAAAAGAUUAAAAUAUUAAUUAAAUUGCAAACAUUAAAGAUUUUUUUUCCAAAAUUGGUUGCUUUGAAAAUGAGAAUAAUAUAAUGUUUGAAGACUUUUCAAAAUUAAUUACUGUGAUGCACUAGAAAUUUCUAGCUUUAGUCUAAUGUAUAAAUUGACAAAACGUAUUAGAAUCCCAGGUGAAAAGAACCCUCUCACACCAAUUAUUUAAAUUAGGAAUGAUCAUACCUGUGGCUCUGCCGAACUGAGGGCGAGGCCUGAACCCCUCAUCUCGAGACGCUUGAGAUGGGAAGAGCCCACUUUGACUAAUUCAUUACGAAAAUAAUCGACAUCUUGCUCUUGCAAUCCACAUAACUCUAGGUCUUCAAUUCUCUGCAGUUGCACGACUAGCGAAUCCUUCAAGCGAAUCUGGUCAUAUAGCUCGAGUCUGAAUUCACGACCCCAAAUGCCGGUGCUCCCCCAAAACCGACCUCCAAUGCUUAUUCUGUACCUUUCCAGCUUCUCCAAGAACAGGCCUCUGGGCAGAGUGCUGACGUCAUGGGUGUCUAAUUCCAAAGAGGUCAAGUUGGGCAAAUGCUUCAACUCCUCAAGGCUUGCAUUCUUAACCCCUUCCACCUCCACCUCCCAAUUAUGAAAGCUUUUAGGACCUAUAUAUAGUUCUUCUAAAUGGGAUAAUUUUGACAGUAUAUUUG